GAAAUUCCAUCUAAACUCAAUAUUCUAACCACACUUGAAGUAUUAAGUGUGGCACACAACAACUUAUCAGGCCCAAUACCUGAAUGGACAAAUCAAUUUGCCACAUUUGAUGAGAGUAGCUAUGAGGGUAACCCAUUUCUUUGUGGACCUCCAUUACCAAAGAGUUGUCAUCCAACUCCUAGAGUUAUUUCAAAUGACUUGGAUUCUGACAAAGACAAUGAUAGGUUGGUAGAUAUGUAUAUCUUUUAUGUGAGCUUUGUUGUAUCAUACACGUUAGCAUUGUUAACAACUGCAGCAGCUCUAUGCAUCAAUCCUUCCUGGACACAAGCAUAGUUUAACUACAUGAAAUUUGUCAAUUUUAAAUUGUUACUACUUUAUCGUGGACAAUUUUUUAAAUUUUGUAAUACUAAAAAUAUGUAACAUGUAUAUUUAUUUCGUUGUUUUCUUUUAAAAGUGACUUAAUAAAAAAAAAGUCAUGCAUGUGUGGCUUAAUAUAAUAAUAUGAAAUCUAAAUUUUGUAUUCAUUAAUGUUAAGGAUUUUUUUAGUCUUUUAAGUUCUUCAUUAUACUGUGAGAGAAUCUAGAUAAGAUAUUUUUUUAUAUCACAUCAAUUAAUAUUAAGACUUCAUAUGUUUUUAGUAUUUAUAAAACAGGUUAACUUGGUUGAGGUGAAAAAAUUUGUAGUCUAUAUAAAAUCAUGAUAUUUUAUUUUAGUCUUUAAAAUCUUGUUUUUAGUAUCUAUGUCUUAGAAUCUGAACGAGACAAAGUUAUGAUUUAAUAAAAAUUAAAAGUGAUUUAAUUUUUUAUUUAAUAGUAAGAACUUGCUAACAGAAAAUUAUGGAAACUAAAAGUUUUAGUGAAAUGUAGUAGAAAUUAAAAAAUUACUCUAUUUAAAAGAACACUUGAAUCCCUUAAUAAUAAUUUAAAAUCAUGAUUCACUUAAAAUUUUAUACGAUUUAUUUUCCACACGCAUUAUUUUUUACCCACCACCCAUUUGUAUGUAGUAUCUAUCUGUUACUCGAAAACACAUUAUUAAUGUUACAGUAAAAAAAUUAUUAAAUAUAAUUAAUUCAAUAUAUUACAAAAAAAUUUAUUAAAUAUAAAUCAAUUUUAGAGAAAAAUAAUAAUAAUAAUUAAUUAAUUAAAUUAGAUACUAUUUUAGAUAUUAAAAAAAUUAUUAGUAUCUAAAUUAAUUUCUCUUUUUAAUAAAUAAUUUCUAAAUUAAUAUUUAAUUAAUUAUCAAAGUUUUAGUUAUUAACUUAAGAAUCUAAAUAAUUGGUAACAAAAAUAUUUAUAACUAAUUAGAUACCUAUUUAACUACUAUUUAUAAAUAACAACAACUAAUUUAAAUACCAAAAAUUUUUAGUCUCGACAAUAGUAUCUAAUUUAGUUAAUAUAACUAAUUAUUUUUUUGUCUCUAAACGUUGUUUGUAUUUAAUGAUUAGUGUUACUUUAUGAUUUCACAGAAGUAUAUUACUACACUAUGAACAUAAACUAUAUAUUUUUUUCAUAACUAGGGAUGUUAAGGAAUUUAGCUGUUGUUAUACAAGCCAAGGACUCAAAGUUACAUUCAGUUACGAUUCCUAUUGAUAAUCAUCAUGUGGAGAUCUCUGCUCUUGUGGCUUUACCAUCUCCAUUGCGUCCUACCUCACCUCGGAAGGCUAAAUCACCUGCAGAUUCUAAAGCACCAAUUAAUACUCCAAUUGAUAGUCAUCAUGUGGAGGUCUCUACUAUUGUGACUGCACUAUCUUUGUCGCCUCAUACCACCCCUCGGAAGGCUAAAUCUCUUGGGGAUGUUAAAGCACUAUCGUUGGUCCUGCAAAAUCAUUUUUUCUCUCUGAGUGGUUUGGAAACUACAUAUGUUAUUUCAAAAUUUUGGGUUGAUCCUAAUGAGAUGGAGGAGGAUGCCAGUGAUACUGGGGAGAAAAUAGUUUGCACUAAGAGAAAAAACAGGGAGACCACCUAGGGGACUGGUAAAUAAAUAAAAAACUGCUUGGGCAAUUCUCUCUACAACGUUGCAAUGUGGAGAUGUUGAUUAGUUUACUUAAACUACAUAAAACCUCCUAGUUUUUCUUGUUGAACCUAUGAUGUUGUAUACUGAUUCUUUCGACGUCCUUUUCAAAUAUGUUAAUAUGCAUUUGGUGACUACGUCUCCUAUUGUUAAUAAAGCGUCUAAACUGUGGUGUUUGUUGGUUCCUAAUCUUAUCCAAAAUUUCUUAGUCAAUGAUCAGUUUAUUUUUGUAACUUGUCUUCUACAUGAUAAAUGUUUUAGCUUUGUAGGUGUUCAUGCUGCUACCACAUACUUGGUAGAUGAUUUUUGUGGAUGGAUCUUAGUUUCUUCAUAGGGUCGUGGUGUAUUCUGGGAGAUUUUAAAGGGGGCGACUCUUAAUCAGGUUUCCUGUAGUGAAUUCCUUAAUGAUCUUUCUUGUAUGCCUUUUACUGGAUCUUUUUAUACUUGGUGUAAUGGAAGGAGAGGGUUGCAUAGAACUCAUAGAAGAUUGGAUAGGGCUUUAUGUAAUGGAAUGUGUCUGGAUGAAUGAGACUCUUGUACUUAUCAAGUUCUUGUUAAAAACUGUUAUGAUCAUCCCCCUAUUCUUGCUAGUCUUGUAGUAAUUCUUUGAGGAAGGUUAGCAAUUUUCGUUUCUUUUCUAUAUGACUUCAGAACACUUCAUGUCUGAAGCUUAUUCAUGAUUCUUUGGCUAAUAAGGUUGUUCGUUGUCCUAUGCUUAUUUUGCAACAUAAGUUAAAAAUGUUGAAAAUUGACCUCCAAGACUGGAAUAAAAAUUCUUUUGGUAAUGUUCAUAAUGAAGUUCUUCUUAAGCAGGGUCUUCUCCUUGGUAUUCAACAAAACUUAGAGACUGUCAGUUUGUCUAAUAUUGUUGGGCUUCUCUGUCAAGAAAAGAUUGUUAAGGAGGAGUUUGAUCAUGUUCUUCACUGUCAAUAUUUGUUUUGGAAAGAAAUGGCUAAGUUGUUAUGGUUCAAAGAUGGAGAUCGAAAUACUGCUUUUUUCCAUGUUGUGGUCAAAAGGAGAAAUAAUUCUAGUGGGAUUCAUCUUCUACGGAUUGAUAAUAAGGUUACUCAGGAUCCUAAACUCAUUGAGGAUUAUAUUUUGGACUUUUAUAAAAAUCUUUAUGCUGAGUCUAUUUCUAAUGUUCUGGAUACAAGUAAUAUGCUUGGAACUUUGUUUAUAGCAACAAGCCUUGAUCUUUGCUCUUGAAAGUCAGAGUUCUUAAAUCCAAAUACGAUUUUAGAAUGGUUUAUAGAUCCUCAUUUCUUUGGCCUAGAAUUAAGCAAUUUUAUUCUACUAUACUUGAUUAUACUUCUUGGAUGGUUGGUACAGGUUCUUUUAUUAAUUUCUGGAAUGAUAAAUGGUGUUCAACAACUUCUUUAACAAAUAUUGCAGCGUUAUCUGAUGGUGCUAGCAUUCCGGAUCUAGUCUCUCAGUUUUGGACAAGUUGUGAUUGGAAUAUUCCCUUAUCUGUACAGCAGAUGCCUCAUUUUUUUUUAAUCAUAUCAUGGUUAGGGAGGAACAAGAUAUUUCUAAUUGGAUUCUAUAUGAUUCUAUUCGUUUAACUCUUAAACUGGUUAGGACUUUUAUCUUGGAACCAGGAGUUCUCUGUGGUUGGGGUAAAUUCAUUUGGUCUUCAUCUAUUCCGGCUUCCAAAACUAUGGUACUCUGGAAAGUUUUUCAUGGGCAGCUUCCGACAGAUCAAUAUAUUCAUAAUAAAGGUUUGCAUAUAUGUUCUAUGUGUACGCUUUGUGAAAAGCAUGAGGAAUCUAUCCAACAUUUAUUUUUUAAUGUUCUAAUGUCUUACAUAUUUGGAGUUGGGUUUGGCAGAUUUUUCUUACUUCUCAUUUCUCUAAUAAAGUUGAUUUUCUUUCCUUUAUUAAGAGCGAAGGUAGUCCUUUGGUUAAAUUGAUUAAGCUUGUUGUCAAAACUUUUUCUAUUUGGAUGACGUAUGAGGAAUUAUGCUAGACUUCAGGAUAAGAUUGAGCUAUUUCGAUUAUUAAAGAUUUAACUUGUCUAGUGGGAAAUUCGUCUAAAGCUUCAAUGAAGAAUGAUAUGUUGGAUUUCAAAGUGAUUAUGUUUUUUGGUAUUAAUACUCAUAGUGGUAAAGUUCUUCGUCAUCUUCCUGUUAGAUGGGAUUUUCCUUCACCAGGUUGGGUUAAAAUUAACACUGAUGGUGCUGCUAGGAGUAUCCUGGUCUUGCUACUUGUGGAGGUAUUUUCCAUAGGAGUAUAGGGGAGUUUAUUUGUGCUUUCUCUGCAUUUUUUGAAGUUCAAACUUCUAUGGCUGCUGAGUUUUAUGAAGUUAUACAUGCUAUGGAGGAAGCUCAAAAGAUGGGGCUUACUAAUGUGUCUGGCUUGAAUGUGAUUAUGUGUUGGUUUAUGUUGCGUUUACUGCUAGGACUAAUGUUUCGCGAAUGCUUCGUAAUCAAUGAAAUACUUGUCUUAAUUAUUGUGUGAAAAUCAGGUUCGUGGUUACUCAUAUUUUUCAUGAAGAAAAUGCGUGUGCUGAUAAAUGAGCUAAUUUAGGAUUUAUUCAUAGAGAAUCAUUUCAUUGAUAUAAUAGACUUCCAUCUAGUAUGUUAUUAGAAUUAUUUAUGAAUAGGUAUAAUCUACCUAUGUAUUGUUUUUGUUAACAUAUAGAUUUUAGUCUAGUCCCCUCAUAUUUUUGUAUUUUUUUUAAUAAUACUUUUUUUACUGUGAUAGCAAAUGAUUGUUAUUACUUGAGGUGUCAAUCUAGUUGAGAUUUCAAGUUGUAUAGUGAUGCCUAAUAUGAAAGUUUUUAUAAAAAAAAACAUAAACUAUAUAUUGUUUUAUAAUUUUUUAUUAAUCAUUUUAUAUCCAAUAAAUAUUGAAUAUGUUUAUAAAAAAUUAAACCCAUUCUGUUAUGUUCCAAUACAAUAUAUAAAAAUUAAUACAAUUUAUAAACUAAGAAAUAAUCAUUGAUAUAGCAUAUAAUACCAUUUUUCUAACUAAUUGAGCAAGAUCAUUCUUCUUCUUAUGAAAUAGUAAUUGUAAUGGCACCUAAAGAAAAAAGAAAAAAGAGAAUAAAGAAUAGAGUGUAACUGGUGCCGAACACGAGCUAAAUAUGACUCUACUUAGCUAACAGACCCCAUGUAAGGUAAACAAAAUACAUGAGAAGAGCUAUAAAAAUUACUGUUUUAAUUUGCUCUCUAUGGUUAGAGUAUCUCAUUACAUAAGAGACAUAAUACUAACUCAUUAAAACACACAUCACAUAAUAUAUUAUGGUAACUUAAUAUUUAAUAUGACACCUAUAAAAAGGAUUUUACUGUAAAAUUAGUAACAAAUGUGACUCACAACACAGUUUGCAAACUUGGAUUCCUAAAUUUCUGUUAGUGGAGCUUAGCUUAUCUUCAACCAUUGAAACUAGUUCUUUUCAGCUUCCCAAAUUUCUUCUUUAUCAAAAAUAUUUAACUAGUAUAGAUUUUAGUAGUUUGAAGUUGGAAGGAGGGUUUCCUAAUUGGUUGUUAGAAAACAACACAAGGUUAACUGAAGUUGUUUUUAGAAAUUGUUCUUUGAAUGGUACUAUGCAAAUACCAUUGCGCCCCCUUCUUGAGUUACGAAGUAUUGAUGUGUCUAGCAAUACCAUAAUUGGUGAAAUCCCAAGCAAGAAUAUCAGUUUUAUUUAUCCAAAUUUGAGAUAUUUAAACAUGUAUAGAAACCACAUCCAAGGUUCAAUUUCUCGUGAGUUUGGCCGAAUGAAGUUGUAUUUGUUGGAUCUUUCAGACAACCAAUUGUUAGGAAAAAUAUCAGAGGACACAUUCGAAGCUUGGCACCAACUUCAUUUCUUGGAACUCUCAAAUAAUAAGUUGGAGGGACCCAUUUUUACAAUACCCACUAGUUUGGAGUUUUUAUCAUUGAAUGAUAAUAACUUUAGUGGUAGACUUCCUACGAACAUUUUUAACACAUCCAUUGUCUCAUUGGAUGUAAGCAAUAAUCAUUUGGUAGGAAAGAUUCCAAGACUUCAGAAUAAUUUAUCAACACUAUGGGAAAUUCGUAUGUCCAAUAACCACUUUGAAGGAUUCAUUCCGUUAGAAUUAACACAACUUGAAGAUCUAAAAUAUUUAAAUCUCUCCCAAAAUAAUUUGUCUGGUCUUGUACCAUCAUUUAUAAAUUCUUCUGUGAAAUUUAUCCAUUUGAGCAAUAAUCAUUUAGUAGGAUUGCCCAAAAAAAUGUUCACUGAAAACUCUUCUCUAGUGAUGUUGGACCUUAGUUACAACGAAAUAUCUGGUGGCAUUCAAGAUAUGAUUAAAGACCUCAGUUAUUCAAAGUUGAAUUUUCUCCUUUUAAAAGGUAAUCACAUUUAUGGGGAUAUACUUAAGCAAUUAUGUCAAUUGAUAAAUUUAACCAUGCUAGAUCUUUCAGACAAUAAACUUUUGGGAGAAAUUCCACAUUGCUUGGGAACAAUGCCUUUUGAUAUUAACAACCUUGAUCCAUUAUUAAAAGCAUCCAAGGGAAGUUUUGUUGAAGAAUAUAGUCUACGACAAUCACAAACAGAGCAUAAGAAAGAGAAAGCAAGUUUCACUUCAAAGAAAAGAAUUGAUACUUACACGGGAAGCAUCCUUAUUUAUAUGUGUGGAGUUGACUUAUCCAAUAAUAAAUUGAAGGGGAAUAUUCCUUACGAGCUUGGAAACUUGACAAAAAUCCAAACAUUGAACUUGUCUCAUAAUGAUUUGAUUGGACAAAUUCCAUAUUCAUUCUCGAAGUUGAUGCAAAUAGAGAGUUUAGAUCUUUCUUUUAAUAAGUUGAGUGGUGAAAUUCCUUCUAAACUCAAUAUUCUAACCACACUUGAAGUAUUAAGUCUGACACACAACAACUUAUCAGGCCCAAUACCUGAAUGGAGAAAUCAAUUUGCCACAUUUGAUGAGAGCAGCUAUGAGGGUAACCCCUUUCUUUGUGGACCUCCAUUACUAAAGAGUUGUCAUCCAGCUCCUAGAGUUAUUCCAAAUGACUUGGAUUAUGACAAAGACAAUGAUAGGUUGGUACAUAUGUAUGUCUUUUGUGUGAGUUUUCUUGUAUCAUACACGUUAGCAUUGUUAACAACUGCAACAACUCUAUACAUCAAUCCUUCUUGGAGACAAGCAUGGUUUAACUACAUGGACGUUGUCAUUUCAAAUUGUUACUACUUUAUUGUGGACAAUUUUUAUAGAUUUUGUAAUGCUAAAAAUAUGUAACAUGUAUAUUGUAUGCUUAGGAUAUUUGUUUCGUUGUUUCCUUUUAAAAGUGAUUUAAUAAAAAAAGUCAUGCAUAUGUGACUUAAUAUAAUAAUAUGAAAUCUAAAUUUUGUAUUCAGUAAAUUGUUGUUAAGGCUUUUUUUUUCAGUCUUUUAAGUUCUUCGUUACACUGAGAGAAUCUAGAAUAUUUUUUUAUAUCACAUCAAUUAAUAUUAAGGCUUCAUAUGUUUUUAGUACUUAUAAAACGAUUAACUUUGUUGAGGUGAAAAAAUUUGUGAGCAAAUUUAUAGUCUAUAUAAAAUCAUUAUUUCAUUUUAGUCUUUAAAAUCUGAACGACAAAGUUAUGAUUUAAUAAAAAUUAAAAGUGAUUCAAUUUUUUAUUUAAUAGUAAGAACUUGCUAACAGAAAAUUAUAGAAACUAAAAGUUUUAGUAAAAUGUAGUAGAAAUUAAAAUAAUUACUCAAUUUAAAAGAACACUUGAAUCCCUUAAUAAUAAUUUAAAAUCAUGAUUCACUUAAAAUUUUAUAUGAUUUUAUUUUCAACACGCAUUAUUUUUUACCCACCACCCAUUUGGUAAAAAAUGUAUAAAUGAAAAUUCGGGAAAUAGGAGAAAGAAUACACAUGUUCCGUCAUUAUGCAGUGUAUGUAUAAUGUAACUGUAACAUCCAAUUUAUAAUGCUUGAUGAUAGUUUGCAUGAUUGUACAUAUGAUCUAGCAACUUGGUGAUGAUAGUUUGCAAGUAGUAAAUGGCACCUCUGAGGUAUUUGCCUUGCUCCCUUUACAAGUCGAGAAAACAAAGCAACUUUGGCAAUUUGAGAGAAAGGCUUCAAUGAAGUGCCUUCUAACUUUUAAUGAAGCAGCCUCUCAUACCUAUGUUCAAAGCAUAUUUAAUUACGUAUGCCAAUUAAAGUGAUACGAAAUCUUAGCAGUGAAGAGCUGGCAAAACAAUGUCCUACGAAACUAAAAUGCAUCCAUAAAAAUAAAUAAAUAACACAACCUUCCGGAGUAUACAUGCGACUUUUUUCUCAUAUAUCAUUAUUUUCACUUUUAUUUUCUUAAAUAACACCCUUUUGUUUUUAUUUUUCUAUCUAACACCGUUUUAUUUUUAUUUUUCUAUCUAACACCGUUUUAUUUUUAUUUCUCCAUGUAGCAUCGUUUCUUCCCAUGGUUUCAUUUUGUAUUUAAAAAAAAAAAAACUCUCUUAGAAUUUGGUUUUUGGGAAGAUGUUUUUAGAAUUUUUUAUUUCUCUGUCUACAGUGAAUGGAAAAGAAAAAAAGAAAUAUAAAAUAGAAUAAAAAUAAGUUGAAGAACCUAUAAAAUCAAAUAAAAAUAAAAGGAAUUAAUAAAUUAAAAAUAAUUGAUAAUUUUAAUUUUAAUUUUGGAUGCAUUAAAAAAUAAAUGUAUUGGUUGUAAAAAAAAUAUUUUUAAUGUUUAAAAUAGUUAGAAAUAUAAAUAUUGAAGAAAGAAAUUAGUUUUUGCAAAAUAAAGUUCUUGUUGUGGCUGGUAAUAAUUUGUCGCAACUGCAAAUGAAUGUCGAUAAGGAUCAUGUUGUUCAUUGUUGUAAUUAGUUGCAGAUGGGAAUGUGGACUCCAACGGUGGCUUUUGUUGUGUGCGUGGAUCAUUUAGUAACUACGGCACUCACAAGAAAUAUAUUGAAUUAGUCAUGUACAAUUCCAUGUAAACUCCCAGGAAAGAGAGGUGAGUCAUAUGUUGACAAACUCUUAAAACCCAAGUCUUUCCUAUCACAUGCAAACAAGAAUGAUGUCCCAAGACAUGAAAAAGGAAGAAUAAAAUAUAUUUUCUCUAAAAAGCAUAAUUAUGCAAGCUGCAACAAUUAACUUGAGGGUACAAAGCACAACAUUGACUCUUCAACAAAAUCCCAUAGAUACAUGCCCGCCAUAAAUACAAAACUUUAUUAUCUUAACAAACAAAAAUGUAAUGACAUUUUACCAGUAAUAACUAUUAAGUAAAUUACAGAGGCAAAAAAUGAAGAACUAGUUUGUAUCAUUUACACGUUAUACCACAUUAAACAUGCAAGAAAAUAAACCGGGUGAGAUUAUAAAGGCUUUCCCUCACAAAUAUUAAGCUAAAAAGAGAGGGGACAAUUUGCGUCAGUUAGACUAUCUCUUUGAACUCUUCAUUCCUGUCUUAUUAUAUUUGUUUUACAAAAUAAAGUGGAUCACAUUAACAAGACAUUUGGAGCAUAUACAGAGGUGAAUGCAGUCUAACUUGCAUAUACAAGCAUAUGCUAUAUUGUUUAAGCAAUUCAAGAAGUAGACAUCAUAUUUUAAUUUUUAACUUUAAUUUUGUAUUCAUUCAACUAGUAUCUUGUUUUACAUUCACUAUCAGAAUGUAAAAUUUCACAUUAAAUUGUUUUACCUGAACUUCCCAGAAAGGGUAACUGUGACCAUAUAACAAACAAGAUUGGCAUUAAUUUUGGUACUUCAUAAUNNNNNNNNNNNNNNNNNNNNNNNNNNNNNNNNNNNNNNNNNNNNNNNNNNNNNNNNNNNNNNNNNNNNNNNNNNNNNNNNNNNNNNNNNNNNNNNNNNNNNNNNNNNNNNNNNNNNNNNNNNNNNNNNNNNNNNNNNNNNNNNNNNNNNNNNNNNNNNNNNNNNNNNNNNNNNNNNNNNNNNNNNNNNNNNNNNNNNNNNNNNNNNNNNNNNNNNNNNNNNNNNNNNNNNNNNNNNNNNNNNNNNNNNNNNNNNNNNNNNNNNNNNNNNNNUAACUAGACUUUUACAACAUGCAAAACAAUUUGGUCAUGCUCAAAAUAUUUGCCCCACCACAAGUAUGAUUAGGCUUUCCAGGAGAUAGUUGAUAACGAUAUCUGCAUAUUGAUUAUGUUGAUAAAUAUUAAAGUGUGCCAAAAACAAGAAUGUAGAACAAGUAGAACUAAAUAUUAAACACUUUUGUGCAUGUGCCUGGUGUAGUAUCUCCUAGAUAUACCAAAACAAAACACAAUUUAUCUAAAAACUUCCUAAAAAACUUAAGCAUUGUACAAAGAUCACCCACCUCUCUCACUCCUAACCUUUUUCCUUCAUCACCAACCAUCUUUCCAAUAAACCAACACCUCUUCACUCCACAGUUCAAUCACGUUCUAUCAUUGCUAACCUCUCUCACUCCAAAUCGUUCAAUCACGUUCAGUAAAGAGAGAGUCCAAAUGUGAGUAUAGAUUGAGAAAAUUAAGAAGAAAACAAAAAUCACCACAGAAACAAAAAAAUUAAGCAAGAGUAUAUGAAAUAAACAAAUCGAUCCUUGCGGAAUGCAAUCAAAGUAAUUGAAACACACUUUGCACAAAGGAAACACGAUUUGUAGAGGAAUCAGUUCGGUGGUGGACCAAAGGUAGAAGAAGCUUCCAAAGUCAUUCCGAAAGUGUUUGGCAGUGCGAUGAUGAGGUCCAAUGCAGUGGGUAAAGUGAGAGUUAAAGGAGAAAUUAUACGUUUAUAGGAGAGUGGAGAAAUUAGGGGUUUUCUGAGAGAAAUUAUGAGUCUAUUGGAAAAAAAAAAUACAAAAUUCUAUAUUAAAUUAUUUGAAAAAUAAUUAAUUGAAUUUAUUUACUAGAGUUUGAAAAAACCUAAUGUAGUUCUUCAAGGUUAUGUAAUAAACUUUUAGAUUUUAAUGGAGAUUAAAACAACCUUUGCUAGUCAAAUGCAUUGUUGAAGUUUAUAUAACCUCAUAUAAAUAACCCCCACUAAAAUCAAUUUUUUUUAUAAUGAUGUUGGUGAUCAAAUUUUGAAACCAUAACAAGGAUGCUAGAAAUCAAACAAAAUCAAUAAUAAUGAAAAUUCAUCAUUUAAUCGGUCAUUAAAUAUAAUAUCUUAAAAGAUAAGUGUUUCUCUGAAGCACAUAAAAUAUAAGGUUAAGUGUAUCUCUUUCCUUACACAAUGAACUCAUUAAUUCAACCUAAAUUUCUUUUCAACCAAUAAAAAAAAACUUUUCUUGCAAGUAAGAAUCACAAGUUUUUCUCAAGAUUAUAAUGAGACUUAGCUUUCAACAAAAUUUCAAUUUUCAAGAAUAUAAUUAGUUAUAAGAGUUGAGAGAAUACAAUUCGAAAUCAAGUUUUUUUUCUCUCUCAUUAGUGUCUAUGUGUGUAACUAAUAACAUUAAACACCUCAUAUACCUUAAAGCAUGCGUUUACAUUUAAGGAUAUGUCGCUUAAGCGAGUCAUUAUCAUUUAAGCAAUCCAUCCUUACUAAAUAGAUAAAAAAAGUCUAUCACUCAAUCUAUAAACACAUCACUUGAUUGAUACCUCAUUAUUUGAGCGAAUUCAUAUCACUUAAACUUCAAAGAAGAAAAAAUUAGUUUGACAUCUCCCUUGAAUGAGCAUCCAAAUCUCAAUGGAGAGAAAAUUAACAUUGACUCUCAUUUCCGUAAGCAUUAUACUAUCCCUCAAGUGAUGCAACUUCAAGCAUCAAGCCACCACUUCAAAAUUCUAUCUCAAAUCUCAUGCUCUUUAUUAUUUGAACAAUAAAUCUUUAAAAAAAACUUAUUUUAGAAUCUGCUCAAACUUCAAGUUAUGAUUUGAACGAAUAGUUGUAUAACUUAAACAUCCAAUUAAAUACUUAAAUAAUAAUAUUUUGUUAUAAAAAAAGUAUCACUACUUAUGUGUCAUCACAUUUUCCUUUUGAUAUUAUGAAAAUAUUCUCAUUAACAUAUGUUUUUCGAAAAACGAUAACUUUGCACUCAACCGAUAUUUAUAGAAAACUAGAUUUUUCAUAACAAAAAAUGUUUCUAAGUACCAAAAACUAAUUUUAUGCAUUAUAUUAACACCCCAAAAUUUACAUAUAACUAUUAAAUAAAAGUUUUACCAAUUUCUAUACAAACUUGGAGUUUUUCAAAACAUUCCUAAUACACGAUUAGGAUUUAUAAAAAUACAAAUAUUUACAUAUCCAUUGCUCAAAAUAAAAUUCUGAAACCUCUAAGGCUCUCCUGCACUUGAAUGGUCAUCUGCUCGUGUACAUAGUACAGUCAUUGCAGUUUAAACACAACACAAAAAGCAAGGGUAAGAUAGUGAAAAUAAAAUUUUAUAAUAUACACACUUAAAUCCAAAAAGAAAACCACAUUACAUGACCAAUUUCUCAAAUUAUUCAAUUUUCUUCAAAUCUCAAUAAUAAAACAAUCACAUAGAUCUCCAAUGGAUCUACACAUCCAAAAUAUUCAACAAACAACGUCUUCCGGAAGACCCGUAUCAAGUAAGUCCUACCAGAGACUAACACCUGAUCCAAAGAUUACCAACAAAUCCAACAGAAAGGAUCAGGGUAAGUUCAAUACAACCCAAGCCGUGCAUCUCAUAUGUCACGGUGUGCAUGAACUCCCCCAUCAACUUCUCACCACCUGAUAUCUUAGUCUAUGUGACUUAGAUCAUCAGGAAAGCUCGGAGAUCUCUGUUACCACAUAGGCAUCAAUACUUAAUACACAGCAAACAUCAGUCCAUACAUUAUUCCGACAUCAAUACUUAAUACACAACGAACAUCUGUCCAUACAUUAUCCCAAAUGUAUGAAUUCAAUUUCACACCAUUUCAUCAUACAAUAUCAUUCCAAACACGAUCCACAACAUUCAAAAGCUUAAUUAACAUAAAAAAAAACACCUUAAAUAUUAAACCAUCAAAAUCUAAUAUUUUUACAAAUUUAAAUGAUAUAUAAACAAACAAUAGCCCUGCAAGAGAAAUUGAAUAUUGGGACCACGUCCCUUCCGCAUUCAGAUCUUCUAUCCUAGGGUGCUAUUAAAAAUUAAAUUUAGCUUCCCUUACCUUAAUUGCUUGCUUUUCAAUCAACUUCUAGAAUUUUAUUUCCCACGGUUUGGAUAAACAUUAAGAUUGACGGGCCUAAUGCAAGUUAUCCAAACAGAACAAAAAUUCAGUAUAUAAUAGAAUAAGUUGAGAGGAUUAAACUUCUCAACUGACCCACCAAUAUUGAUGACUAAAUUCUAAGAAAAAACAUAGAACAAAGGAUAUUUAGAGUAAAAAUGAACUUACUCUGUUUGAAAAUUUGAUCGGGUAGAAAUGUAGUCUGACUCCCCAUCUACAAUAUGGCAUGAUCAGAUUUUAAAAUAGAUGAUGUAUGGGAGAGAAAAUGAAGAGAGAAAAGAGAGGAGAGAAGUUGAUAGAGAGAGAAAGCAUGAAAAAAAGAAAAGAGGAAAAUGCUGGGGCAGGGGUGCUGCUUUUUUUUAUUUAGGGGGGGUUUACAUUAUACACAGUUUCUAAUGAUUUUUACACUACUUAGUCAUAUAACAUAAUCAAAACAACCAUUUAUUCUCGAUUUGAUUAGCUAAACCCAAAGUUAUAUUUAAAAACAUUUAUAUACAAAUCUCUAACUAAUUCAAAUCAAUGUGUAGAGCUCUCAAUAGCACCAAAUCAUAUUUUUAUUGAUUUAUAAUUACCAACACUGUCAACAAUAAAAGACUUUAUUCAGCUAACUCCCUUUAACGACGACUUUACAACGAUUGACUUUCUAGUCGCAUUUGAUGUACACGUAGUCUUAUGUCAAACAGAUAAGAAGGUGAUUAUUUAGCCGCAUUCUUAAAUGCUAUUUAUAAGUGCAACUAUGGUAAAUAGUUGCAUUCUUAAAUGCAUAAUACAUCCCUUUUAUAAAUCAUUCUGAAGCAUAUAAGAAUGCGGUUAUUUACCAUAGUCGCCCUUAUAAAUCGCAUUUAAGAAUGCGGCUAAAUAGUCACCUUCUUAUCUGUUUGACAUAAGACUACGUGUACAUCAAAUGCGACUAGAAAGUCGUCGUUGUAAAGUGAAAAUAUCCGCCCUCUUUUUUUGACUUCUAUGAGAUAAUAGAAGAACCAAGAAAAAUUCAAUACAUCUCUGAGUUGUCUGACAACCUCCCUAGUCUGAGUCGUAAUAAGUUGUCAAUGUCAUAUGGUUCUUGGAUGACAAUAGUAAUCCUUGUUCAGGUGAUCCUUUGAUGUUUUUUAGGACUCAAAUUGCGGUAUCCCAAUGAGAUUUUCGUGGAACCGGUAUAUAUUGAGUUAAACACUAUGUUAGGCCGAGUAACCGUGAGGUAUAUUAGUUAUCAAUCGUCCCACAAGUUGCCUGUAUUUGACUCGAUCCUUUAAUAACUAUCCAUCGUUUGAGUGUGAGUUUUAGGUAUUGCUCCAUUAGAAAUUUGUCUAGACUAUCACCUGCGAGUCCCGUAUCCUGCAAAAUAUCAAGCGCAUAUUUUAUUUGUGACAUGUAAAUACUAGCUUUGGAACGAAAAAUAUUCAAUCCCUAGAAAAUAUUUUAAGUCUUCAAGAUCUUUAAUGCGAAAUCGUCGUAAUAGACUGUCUUUAAGACGCUGCAUUGUCAGAUCAUUCAUUUCCUGUCAAAAAAAUAUCGUCCACAUAAAUCGAGAGGACAUUAAAUGAUGAGUUAUUUUGUCUUGUGAAUAAAGAGUAGUCCACCUUGGACUAUUGAAAUACUGAAGAUUUAAUCACAUGAGAAAAUGUUGAAAACCAUCUCUGGACCAUGUCCGGAGGCUUGUCUGUCGAUGAUGCCUAGGUGACAAGUCCAUGUAAAUAAGUUCGUGUAAUUUGCCAUGUAAGAAGGCCUUUUGCACAUCCAGCUGGUGAAUAAACGAAUUUUUGGUUGUUGCAAUGGUGAGGAGACACCUAAAAGUUGUUAAUUUUGAUGUUGGUGAAAAAGUUUCGCAAUAGUCAACACCUUCAAUAUGAGUGUACCCUUUUGUAACAAGGCGCGGCUUAUAUCUUUCGACGAUGUCGUCUGAUGUGUACUUUCAUCUUAUAGGUUUCUGCCCGGCGGGUAACUAAAGAAAAUUGUGAAUUUUGAAAGAAAAUGAUGCAUAAGAUACCUAGUUCCAUUCGACUGAUAUUGGAUAGUGGUUGAAUGAUUGACUUGGGAUCCCGUUACGUAGUCUUGAAGUCAGGAAAGUGAGGUUAAUGUUUCCACUAAUCAUGAGAUUCUAUCAUUAUUAAAUUAAUUGCAUAUAAUUACGUAUAAUUGCGUAUAAUUUGAUAAUCCUUAUUUCUUUUAAUAAAUGAGAUUAUUUUAUUAUUUUAAUUGAUGUAUGUAUUUCCAUUUUGAAAAUUUUUAUUUCUUGCAGGAUUAUUCACUCUCACCCGUCAAAUAUAUUAUGGAUCGAAGUUUUAAUGAAAUCAACAUUUGGUGAUCCAUGGAGGUAUGGAGGUAUUGAAGAACAUGGAAUUUAAAAAACUUAAUUAAUGAUUUGCUUUUGAGAGAGAAAUCAUGACAUUUUGAAGUCUUUAAAUGUGAUUAUUUAGCCAAAGUUCAUAUAUAUAUAUUUGCAUAAAUUUAGUUAAUUCCCCUUACAUCUUUCAGGUUUAUAAAAAUACAUAUGUUUUUUAACGUUCUUUUGGUUUUCAGCAAUUUACCUGCGGUCAAGGUAUUGGAGGUGUGGAAUAAAUAUGUGUUGUUUCUAUAUGAUGUGUGCAGAAAUGCACAUAUUUAAAUGAGGUGAGGGUGGAAUAUUUACUCUCCUCAUGAGCACAAAGUAGGAGAAAUCUAUAAAUAAUAUUGCAUAAACUAAUGUCAAAGGAAAUUCUCCAUAUAUCAUCACAAAAGAAAUUGAGAAAAAAAUAUCCAACAUCCUCCCUUAAUUAUGAUUUGGAACAACCUUUCCAAUUUGAGUCAUGAUAUUGUUUUUCUCAAUCACCAUCAAUUUUUCAUUCAUAGCCUUUUGCCAUUUGGGGUGCUGAAUGGCAUAUCAAGUCUCACAGGUUCUGAUUCUGCAAGAAAAGCAAAGUGAACCAAAUCUCCAUUGUCAUCAACUUCAUCAUCAAGAUUUACUUCACAAUCUUGAAGAUGUACAGGUUGUCGAUGUUGCCUUCUUGGUCACUCCAUCAUAGUUGCAAUUGGAGUUGCAACUUCAGGUUGAAUUACAACUUCAGGUUGAACUGUAGGUGCUUCAAGAGUGACUUCAUCUUCCACAUCAUCGUUCAAAACGUAAAUAUAUCAUUUUUUUGAAUCCAUUUCAACUGCUGCAUUUCAUUGCCAUUCCUCAUCUUCGGCAAAUGUAACAUCACGACUAACAAUCACCUUCUUUGUUAUUGGAUUGUACAAUUUGUAUCCCCCAUGCUUAUAUCCAAUGAAAAUGGUUUUCCUUGCCUUAUCAUCCAACUUUGAUCUUGCUGCCUUGGGAACAUGAGCAUAAGUAAUUGACCAAAAUACCUUCAAGUGCUGCACAUUGUGUUUGAAUCCACUUCAUGCCUCAAUCGGAGUUGUGUUAGGAACACUCCGAGUGGGUGAUCUGUUUAUCAAAUAUACCGCACAUGUUACGGCCUCAGCCCAAAAAUAAUUUGGCAUACCUUUCGCUUUAAGCAUGCUCCUCGCCAUGUCCAUGAUUGUUUUAUUCUUUCUCUCAGCAACUUCGUUGUGUUGAGGUGUGUAGGGACAAGUUAUGUUAUGUUGCAACCCAAGUUCUUCACAAUGCCUCUUGAAUUCAUUAGACUUGUACUCACCUCCUCCAUCACUACGCACCAUCUUAAUUUGUCUGCCACUCUGUCUUUCAACAAAUGCUUUAAAUAUUUUAAAGCUGUGGAAUACCUCAUCCUUGCUUUUCAAUACAUAAAUCCAGGUUUUCUUUGAAAAAUCAUCGAUAAAGGUUAACAAAUACUUAUUACCUCCAACUGAUGAUAUGUUCAUUGGGCCACAAACAUCUGUAUGAACAAGCUCUAAAGGAAAUUUUGCACGCCAAGGCUCCUUAACAAAUGAUAUACUGUGAUUCUUUCCAAAAAUGCAAGCCUCACACAAUUGAUCAGGGUGAUGAAUAUGAGAUAAACCAUUUACUAAAUUUCAUUUGGAGAGAUUUUCCAAACUCUGGAAAUUUAAGUGCCCAAAGCGUAAAUGUCAUAACCACGAUUCAUUAUUCACUAUUGCAUUAAAGCACUUGAAAUCACCCAUAUGAAUAUCUACUAUAAACAUGCGGUUUUUUGAUAAAAAGGAAUUAAGAAUCAAACUAUCUUUUUUAUCAAAAAUUGAUAAUUUAUUUUCAACUAUGUGCAUCACAUAACACUUCUCAGCCAGCUGUCCCAUACUCAACAAAUUACUUUUCAUAUCAGAUACAUAGAAAACAUCAUAGAUGUACCUGUGAUCACCAUUCUUCAAUGUGAUAAGAAUUCGCCAUUCUCCAGUGACCGGAACGAACCUGCCAUCACCGAAUUUCACUUUUGUGCGAAAUGAGUCAUCCAAAUCUGCAAAUAGCUCCUUCUGACCACACAUAUGAUUCGUGCAACCUGUAUCCAAAUACCAAGUCUGGUUGUUUGGAGUUUCAUUUGAUGUGGUUGUCAUUAAUACUUCAUGAUCAUCUUCAUCUUGUUCGUGAUUACUAUCUUCUUGAGCACAAUUGGAAGCAUGAUUAUCACCUUUUNNNNNNNNNNNNNNNNNNNNNNNNNNNNNNNNNNNNNNNNNNNNNNNNNNNNNNNNNNNNNNNNNNNNNNNNNNNNNNNNNNNNNNNNNNNNNNNNNNNNNNNNNNNNNNNNNNNNNNNNNNNNNNNNNNNNNNNNNNNNNNNNNNNNNNNNNNNNNNNNNNNNNNNNNNNNNNNNNNNNNNNNNNNNNNNNNNNNNNNNNNNNNNNNNNNNNNNNNNNNNNNNNNNNNNNNNNNNNNNNNNNNNNNNNNNNNNNNNNNNNNNNNNNNNNNNNNNNNNNNNNNNNNNNNNNNNNNNNNNNNNNNNNNNNNNNNNNNNNNNNNNNNNNNNNNNNNNNNNNNNNNNNNNNNNNNNNNNNNNNNNNNNNNNNNNNNNNNNNNNNNNNNNNNNNNNNNNNNNNNNNNNNNNNNNNNNNNNNNNNNNNNNNNNNNNNNNNNNNNNNNNNNNNNNNNNNNNNNNNNNNNNNNNNNNNNNNNNNNNNNNNNNNNNNNNNNNNNNNNNNNNNNNNNNNNNNNNNNNNNNNNNNNNNNNNNNNNNNNNNNNNNNNNNNNNNNNNNNNNNNNNNNNNNNNNNNNNNNNNNNNNNNNNNNNNNNNNNNNNNNNNNNNNNNNNNNNNNNNNNNNNNNNNNNNNNNNNNNNNNNNNNNNNNNNNNNNNNNNNNNNNNNNNNNNNNNNNNNNNNNNNNNNNNNNNNNNNNNNNNNNNNNNNNNNNNNNNNNNNNNNNNNNNNNNNNNNNNNNNNNNNNNNNNNNNNNNNNNNNNNNNNNNNNNNNNNNNNNNNNNNNNNNNNNNNNNNNNNNNNNNNNNNNNNNNNNNNNNNNNNNNNNNNNNNNNNNNNNNNNNNNNNNNNNNNNNNNNNNNNNNNNNNNNNNNNNNNNNNNNNNNNNNNNNNNNNNNNNNNNNNNNNNNNNNNNNNNNNNNNNNNNNNNNNNNNNNNNNNNNNNNNNNNNNNNNNNNNNNNNNNNNNNNNNNNNNNNNNNNNNNNNNNNNNNNNNNNNNNNNNNNNNNNNNNNNNNNNNNNNNNNNNNNNNNNNNNNNNNNNNNNNNNNNNNNNNNNNNNNNNNNNNNNNNNNNNNNNNNNNNNNNNNNNNNNNNNNNNNNNNNNNNNNNNNNNNNNNNNNNNNNNNNNNNNNNNNNNNNNNNNNNNNNNNNNNNNNNNNNNNNNNNNNNNNNNNNNNNNNNNNNNNNNNNNNNNNNNNNNNNNNNNNNNNNNNNNNNNNNNNNNNNNNNNNNNNNNNNNNNNNNNNNNNNNNNNNNNNNNNNNNNNNNNNNNNNNNNNNNNNNNNNNNNNNNNNNNNNNNNNNNNNNNNNNNNNNNNNNNNNNNNNNNNNNNNNNNNNNNNNNNNNNNNNNNNNNNNNNNNNNNNNNNNNNNNNNNNNNNNNNNNNNNNNNNNNNNNNNNNNNNNNNNNNNNNNNNNNNNNNNNNNNNNNNNNNNNNNNNNNNNNNNNNNNNNNNNNNNNNNNNNNNNNNNNNNNNNNNNNNNNNNNNNNNNNNNNNNNNNNNNNNNNNNNNNNNNNNNNNNNNNNNNNNNNNNNNNNNNNNNNNNNNNNNNNNNNNNNNNNNNNNNNNNNNNNNNNNNNNNNNNNNNNNNNNNNNNNNNNNNNNNNNNNNNNNNNNNNNNNNNNNNNNNNNNNNNNNNNNNNNNNNNNNNNNNNNNNNNNNNNNNNNNNNNNNNNNNNNNNNNNNNNNNNNNNNNNNNNNNNNNNNNNNNNNNNNNNNNNNNNNNNNNNNNNNNNNNNNNNNNNNNNNNNNNNNNNNNNNNNNNNNNNNNNNNNNNNNNNNNNNNNNNNNNNNNNNNNNNNNNNNNNNNNNNNNNNNNNNNNNNNNNNNNNNNNNNNNNNNNNNNNNNNNNNNNNNNNNNNNNNNNNNNNNNNNNNNNNNNNNNNNNNNNNNNNNNNNNNNNNNNNNNNNNNNNNNNNNNNNNNNNNNNNNNNNNNNNNNNNNNNNNNNNNNNNNNNNNNNNNNNNNNNNNNNNNNNNNNNNNNNNNNNNNNNNNNNNNNNNNNNNNNNNNNNNNNNNNNNNNNNNNNNNNNNNNNNNNNNNNNNNNNNNNNNNNNNNNNNNNNNNNNNNNNNNNNNNNNNNNNNNNNNNNNNNNNNNNNNNNNNNNNNNNNNNNNNNNNNNNNAUAUAUAAGUUUUCGAAACUCUGUCAUCAAAGCUGCCUAAUCUGGAGGUCCUUCACCUAAGUGGGAAUUAUUUAACCAAUGACAUCUUGCCAUCCCUCGAGGGAUUCACAUCUUUGAAGGAACUGAGUUUGUGGGAAACUGGAUUGGACUCCGAUCUUCACAUGGAAGGUACGUAUAGAAUGUAACUUUUCCAUUUCAUUAAUAAAGAGGAGCAGUGGGAAUUUACUUGUUUAUUAAUGGAGGAUAUAUUCUUUGCAGUUUUAUGCUCAAAAUUGAAGAAUCUUGAGUCCCUUGACUUGUCAUAUAACAACUUCAACCACAUUGAUAUUGGCUCUGCUCUUAGUGGACUCUCAUCCCUCAAGUUCUUAUAUUUAAGAAACACUGGAUUGAGUUGGAGAUCAAUUUUAAGUAUGUGCCAUAUACAAAUCUUCAUCCUUUGUUUUUUAUUACAAAUUAUAUCGAACUGUCUAUAAUCGGAAAUAUUCUAUUGAUAGAUAUUUCAAAAUUAAGUUCUUUGGAGAUCCUUGACUUAAAAGGUAACGGGUUGAAUAAGUCUGAGAGUAUCUUCUUGCGUAUAAAAGGUUAGUUCUGAUUUAUAUUGGAUAAUAUUUUAUUUAUUCUCCUUCUUCUUCUUUGAUGCUUUCAAUUUUAUUUAAGAGUGAAAGAAGGAUUUAAAUGGUCAAUCAAUUUACAAAAGUUGUGACGGAGGAAUAUCUCUCAUCUCUAAGUGGUCUUUCACUUCUCAAAUCUCUUCAUUUAAACACUUAUCAACUAAAAGGAAUACUAGAUAUCAGCCGUUAGUAAUUCUAUAAAAUAUGUUUAAAAUAUUCAAAACAAUAUUUCUAGAUAUUAUAUUCUAAUAUUUUUAAAUUAUUAAACGAUUUGUUAGAAUCAAUAAUUUAAUCUGGAGUCUUAAAAAACUGUACAAUCAAUUACAAAAUCAUAAUUAAUUUCAUAUUAACAUAAUUAAUAUUAAAAAUCUCCACAAAUUUAUAUUCUAAAAUAUUGUAAAAAAAACAACUCGAUGUAUUACACUUAUUUUUUAACUGUCCUGUCAUUGUUUCUUUGCCAAGUAAUUCUUAGAAAAAUUGAAACUCUUUAAAGACUAUGAUUUUUAGUUUAAUUUUUACUAAUAAAUUACUUUCAAGUUAUUUAUAAAUUCCCACACUAAGAAUUUAGAUGUUUAAAAUCAACUGAAAAUUUCUUCCAUAAAACUAAGUGAGAUUCAGACCACUUAUUCUAUCUUUGAAAAAACAGCUUUUUUUCAGACCAAUAUUUUGUUUACUUUAUUCAAAUUUAUUUUACUAUUACUAAAAAAUGAAUCACGCUUUUAAAGUUUUAAAAACAUAAUACUAAUUUAAUUAAUUUUUAUUAAUUAGAAAUAUAAUUAUUAUCAAUAGAAUAUUGAAUUAUUAAAAUAUGGUGAUAAUUAACAUAUAAUUUAUAAUUAACAUAUGGUGAUAAUUUUAUAAAAUUAAGGACGCCAACUUUUACAAACGAAAGGAUCACGUUGUAUUUUUAAAAAUUUGAGGGACUUGAUUAAAUAUUUUGUAAGAGUUAUAUUGUUGCACUGAUAAAUUAAAAAACUUGAUUAAACUUUUUAUUAACAGAUAAUUAAAUUGAGUAAGUAAAUAAAUAAGUAAACAAAACUUUUAUAUUUUACAUUUGUCUCUUGUAGAUUUGUAUGGUAUCUUGGAUAGUCAAAGAUUUGGAUCUUUAUGUUUUCAUUAUAAAGUUAAGAGAAUAUUUUACAGAGUAUUACAAAUGACAAGAAUAAAAGUUUUAGUGAUAAAAAUAAAGAAUGUAAUUAACUAAUAAAUUUAAGACAAAGAAUUUUCAAAUGAUUUAACUAAAUAACCAUGAGUUUAAUUAAAAUAUAUUUAUAUUAUUAAACUUCUAACCUUAAUUGCGUAAAAAAUAUUGAAAAAGAUAAGUCUUAGAUCGUAGUUUCUUUUGUACUUUCCAAACAGAAAAAAUAAAUUGUUGAAAAAUACUUAACUCGAGUAAUGUACAGACUUAUGGAAAUUGCUUAUUAUUGGAGAUUGAGAAAUAAGAAAAUCCCGAAAAUGAUUCUCAAUAAAAAAAUUUAUCAUUUAGAAGCUUCAAACAACAAAACACAUAUAUGACCUCAAAAACCAUUUAAUUUUUAUGUUAUAAUUUAAUAUUUUAAAUUUUAAAAUACCAUUUUGGUCCUUCGUUUUUAAAUUUGAAUAAAUUUAAAAUAGUAGUAAUUUUAUAUUGGAAGAUAAGUUUUUAAACUAUUUUUUAAUUGAUUCAAGAUGUGAAAUUUUUUCUAUUAGAUCAAUUUACAUAAAAAAUUACAGAAUCCAAAUUAAAUUAAGACAAUGAAUAGUGGUAAUUAUAUAAAAUCACAUGAAAAUGCAUUCUCCAUAUUCUUAGUGAGUAGUGAUGAGUUCAGAUGCUUUGUUUAUCAGAGAAAGAUGAGUUUAAAUGGCCCACCAAUUUACAAGAGUUAUGGUUGAGUUUCAACAGCUUGAGCAACGAUUUUGUUUCAUCUCUGAGUAACCUUCCACGUCUCCAAUCCCUUGAUUUAAGUUGCAAUCGACUAGAAGGAGCAAUAAAUAUAAGUGGUCAGUAUUUUAUAUAUUUUUUUGCUUUAUUAUAAUAUUUUAGAAUUAAAAUUAAUUAUUCAUUUAGUUUGAAUAAUUGUACAAAUUUUAUCUUAUAUUUUAUAUUCUUAAAAUGUGAUGAAUAUAUGUUUUAUAUAUAGAAGUUAUGCAUACAGUUUUAUUUCUUAAACUAGUAUAGAUAAAAGAUAUUAAGGAUUUACGUUUAUUAGUACAUUUAAGAUAUAUCUAUUAAUUUAUUAGAUGAUGAAAAGAUAAUAAUAACUAAUUAUUUAUUAAAUUUUUUAAUUUUUAAAAAAUAAAAACAAGCAACUAUUUCUCUUAAAAUAAAUUUAAUAAAUAAUUGAUUAUUUAUUCCCUUUUCAUAUCAUAAUUAAUAAAUAUAUCUUAAAUGCACUAAAAAAACGUAAAUUCCCUGUAUCUUUUUAACUAUACUAAUUUAAGAAAUUAAACUGUAUGCAUAACUUCUAUAUACAAAACAUAUAUCCAUCACAUUUUGAAAUCAAAGAUUUCUAAAACAAGAAAAUGUAAUAUAUAUAUAUAUAUAUAUAUAUAUAUAUAUAAAUCAAAUAAACCAUUUUUAUGUAUAAAGUUUUCAUGUUCUGAACCUACCCUAAGAAUCCAACUCAACAUGAAAUAAGUGAAUUAAUUAAUUUUGUUUACCUCUAUUUCAGCCUCUAACGGAAGAUUUCACAACCAAACUAAGUUAGACCUAACAAAGUUUAACCUAAUCGCAUUAGAUCUUACAUACAAGACUAAAAUAUACCUAAUGCUAACAAUAUUAAAAAAGAAAUAUAGUUUUGAAAUUUGGGAUCUGAAAGAAAAAAUCUCACUCUAAAACAAAAUCUAAUUGGAUAACAUUAUUAUAAUCUCUAUUAUGUUCUAUAAGGGGGCUUUUAAUUAAAAACAUUUGAAUAAUUGGGUUAGAAAUUUAGAGGAAAGAUAAAAAGAAUGUGAGAAAAAAUUGUUCAAAGAAUAAAGUUAGUUGACAAAAUUAUAUAUUGAACAUAAUUAGAAUUGUAAUCUUUAUUUUUUUUAAACCAUAUCCAAAAAAGGAUCUUACAAUCAAUAUAUAAAAUAAUUACUCUUAUUUAUUAAGUUUAAUACAAUGCCAAUAUAAGAAAAUCUAUUUAAUCAAUCAAAUAAUAAAAUAUCAUUGAUAAUUUGAUUUUUAAGAUAAUUAAUAUUUCAAAAGUCCAUAAAUUACAACACAACCAUUUGUAUUAUAAAACAAAGUAUUGCACUCUUAUAUAUACUAUUACUUAAUAUAUAUUAUAAAACAUAUUUAUGGAUGACAAAAAUCAUUAAAAAUCCAAAAGAAUUUAUGAGUAAACUCAAAAUUAUGGAUAGAUUUUAAAAAUAUAGUCCACAGUUUAAAAUUUAAAAGAUAAAUAAUCCAAAUAUACUUCAAAUAAAGUUAAAAUACGAUCUGAAUAAAUAAGUAUUGUAAAUGUGUUUUUAGUAGUUAUUUCUUUGUUUGUUUAUUAAAUACUGGAAAUUAUUUCUGCAUAUCAUUUCUGUUUUUUUUUUAAAAUUUGGUGUAAGUGGAACUGUGAGAGUUUAAUUAACAUUAACAAAGUUAACUUUUAGAGGUUCAACAUAAUAGUUUUUGGAAGAAAAAAAAACUUUUGAUUAUUUAAAAGUAAACUAGUUUUCUAACGCUUCUACUAGUAAAAUAAUUGAAUGUUAAUUGAUUUUGAUUAAUUUUUAAUUUUUCUCUUGUAGGAUUAUCAACUUUGUCCAAUUUGACGAAUCUUUAUCUAGGCCAUAAUAAUAUCCAUUAUUUUGUGGCCGAUCAAGGUAUUUAAGAAAAUUAAAAUUAGAAAAGGGGAAGAAAAAAUAUAUUAGAUAAAUUCAGACACGUUGAUUCCAUUAUUUCGUUGAAGUUCCAUAAAAUAUAUUUACUCUAUCCCAUUUAGCAUAAUUAAAGUUUAUUUACAUUUUUUAGUUAAUUAAAGUUGCAUAUCUUUCAGACUCAGAAAGAGUAAGUAGAUUGGAAGUCCUUCAUUUAGAUGGAAAUAUGAUAGAUGGAAAAAAGUUAAGGGAGUCAUUGCGAGCUUUAUCAUCAUCCAUUAAGGAGCUUCAUAUGUCUUACAAUAAAUUUACAGGAACAGUUUUAGCUGAAGGUAAAUAAUAUAUAUUAUUUUUAUAAGGUAAAUUAAUUUUGUCGUUCUUACAUUAAGAUUCUUAUAAAUUUUUUUUCUAUUGCAGAUUUUCACGAUUUAAGUAAGCUAGAACUUUUGACAUUGAACGGAAAUAAUAACAUUGAGAGUGAAUUUUUCAAAAGUAUUGGGAAUUUGACUUCCUUGAGAGUACUGUCUCUUUCAUAUUGUCAGAUAAAUGACGCCCUUCCUGCUGCUACUGGUAAUUAUAUUAUUAUUAAUGUUAUUCAUAACAUGUAUGUUUUAUAUAAUUUUUUCUUAAUUUUGUUAAAAUCUUUAUAUCCUUCUUGUUAUAACACUUGCAAUAUGUUUUCUUUUUUCUUCAAAUUUUUCAUUCAGAUUGGUUUAAGCUGAAGAAGUUGGAAGAGUUAAAUCUAAUACAAAAUGGAUUUGAAGGAUUUCUUCCCAAAUCUUUCAUUAACAUGACAUCUCUUCAGAUGUUGGAUCUUUCUCAAAAUCACUUCAUGGGAAAGUUUGAUUCUAACAUUGCAACCCUUACAUCACUGGAACAUUUUGAUUUUACAGAAAACCAAUUUGAAGUGCCUGUUUCAUUUACACCAUUUGCCAAUCAUUCACACCUUAAGUUUGUCUAUGGUAAAGGCAACAAAGUCAAAUUGGACUCUCAACACAGUUUGCAAACUUGGAUUCCAAAAUUUCAGUUAGUGAGGCUUAGCUUGUCUUCAACCAUUGAGACUAGUUCUUUCCAGCUUCCCAAAUUUCUUCUUUAUCAAAAAUAUCUAACUAGUCUAGAUUUUAGUGGUUUGAAUUUGGAAGGAGGGUUUCCUCAUUGGUUGUUAGAAAACAACACAAAGUUGAUUGAAGUUGUUUUUAGAUAUUGUUCUUUGAAUGGUACUAUGCAAAUACCAUUGCAUCCCUCUCUUGAGUUACAGAGUAUUGAUGUGUCUAGCAAUACCAUAACUGGUGAAAUCCCAAGCGAGAACAUCAGUUUUAUUUAUCCAAAUUUGAGAUAUUUAGACAUGUCUAGAAACCACAUCCAAGGUUCAAUUUCUCGUGAGUUUGGCCGACUGAAUUUGUGUUUGUUGGAUCUUUCAGACAACCAAUUGUCAGGAAAAAUAUCAGAGGACAUAUUCGAAGCUUGGCACCAACUUGAUUUCUUGAAACUUUCAAAUAAUAAGUUGGAGGGACCCAUUUUUACAAUACCCACUAAUUUGAGGUCUUUAUUCUUGAAUGAUAACAACUUUAGUGGUAGACUUCCCAGGAACAUUUUUAACACAUCCAUCGUCUCAUUGGAUGUAAGCAAUAAUCAUUUGGUAGGAAAGGUUACAAGCCUUCUGAAUAAUUCAUCAGGAUUAUUGGAACUUCGUAUGUCCAAUAACCACUUUGAAGGAUUCAUUCCAUUAGAAUUAAUACAACUUGAAAAUCUAAAAUAUUUAGAUCUCUCCCAAAAUAAUUUUUCUGGUCUUGUACCAUCAUUUAUAAAUUCUUCUGUGAAAUUUAUCCAUUUAAGCAAUAAUCAUUUAGCAGGAUUGUCCAAAAAAAUGUUCACUGAAAACUCUCCUAUAGUGAUGUUGGACCUUAGUUACAACAAAAUAUCUGGUGGCAUUCAGGAUAUGAUUCAAGAUCUCAAUUAUUCAAAGUUGAAUUUUCUCCUUUUAAAAGGUAAUCACAUUACUGGGGAUAUACCUAAGCAAUUAUGUCAGUUGAUAAAGUUAACCAUGCUAGAUCUCUCAGACAAUAAACUUUUGGGAGAAAUUCCUCAUUGCUUGGGGACAAUGCCUUUUGAUAAUAACAACCUUGAUCCAUUCUUAAAAGCAUCCAAGGGAUAUUUUGUUGAAGAACAUAGUCUAAGACCAUCACAAUCAGAGCAUAAGAAAGAGAAAGCAAGUUUCACUUCGAAGAAAAGAAUUGAUACGUACACGGGAAGCAUCCUUGCUUAUAUGUCUGGAAUUGACUUAUCCAAUAAUAAAUUGAAGGGGAAUAUUCCUUAUGAGCUUGGAAACUUGACAAAAAUCCAAGCAUUGAACUUGUCUCAUAAUGAUUUGAUUGGACAAAUUCCAGAUUCCUUCUCGAAGUUGGUGCAAGCAGAGAGUUUAGAUCUUUCUUUUAAUAAGUUGAGUGGUGAAAUUCCUUCUAAACUCAAUAUUCUAACCUCACUUGAAGUAUUAAGUGUGGCACACAACAACUUAUCAGGCCCAAUACCUGAAUGGACAAAUCAAUUUGCCACAUUUGAUAAGAGUAGCUAUGAGGGUAACCCAUUUCUUUGUGGACCUCCAUUACCAAAGAGUUGUCAUCCAGCUCCUAUAGUUAUUCCAAAUGACUUGCAUUAUGACAAAGACAAUGAUAGGUUGGUAGAUAUGUAUGUCUUUUAUGUGAGCUUUAUUGUAUCAUACAUGUUAGCAUUGUUAACAACUGCAGCAACUCUAUACAUCAAUCCUUCCUGGAGACAAGCAUGGUUUGACUACAUGGAAUUUGUCAUUUUAAAUUGUUACUACUUUAUCGUUGACAAUUUUUAUAGGUUUUGUAAUACUAAAAAUAUGUAACAUGUAUAUUGCAUCUUAGGAUGUUUAUUUCAUUGUUUCCUUUUAAUAGUGAUUUAAUAAAAAAAAAAAAGUCAUGCAUGUGUGGCUUAAUAUAAUAAAAUGAAAUCUAUUUUGUAUUAAAUUGUUGUUAAGGAUUUUUUUAGUCUUUUAAAUUCUUCAUUAUACUGUGAGAGAAUGUAGAUAAGAUAUUUUUAUAUCACAUUAAUUAAUAAUAAGGCUUCAUAUGUUUUUAGUACUUAUAAAACAGGUUAACUUGGUUGAGGUGAAAAAAUUUGUGACCAAAUUUGUAGUCUUUAUUAAUUCAUGAUAUUUUAUUUUAGUAUUUAAAUCUUAUUUUUAGUAUCUAUGUCAUAGAAUCUGAACGAGACAAAGUUAUGAUUUAAUAAAAAUUAAAAGUGAUUAAUUUUUUAUUUAAUAGUAAGAACUUGCUAACAGAAAAUUAUGGAAACUAAAAGUUUUAGUGAAAUGUAGUAGAAAUUAAAACAAUUACUCUAUUUAAAAGAACACUUGAAUCCCUUAAUAAUAAUUUAAAAUCAUGAUUCACUUAAAAUUUUAUACGAUUUAUUUUUCACACGCAUUAUUUUACACACGCAUUAUUUUUUACCCACCACCCAUUUGUAUGUUACAGUAAAAAAAUUAUUAAAUAUAAUUAAUUUAAUAUAUUACAAAAAAAAUUAUGAAAUAUAAAUAAUUUUAGAGAAAAAAAAUUAAUUAAAUAAAUUAGAUACUAUUUUAGAUAUUAAAAAAUUAUUAGUAUUUAAAUUAAUUUUUUUAUUAAUAAAUAAUUUCUAAAUUAAUAUUUAAUUAAUUAUCAAAGUUUUAGUUAUCAACUUAAGAAUCUAAAUAAUUGGUUAAAAAAAAUAUGUAACUAGUUAGAUGCCAAUUUAACAACUAUUUAUAAAUAACAACAACUAAAUUAAAUACAAAAAAAAAAUUAGUCUCGACAAUGUUAGAAAAGAUGGCUUUAAACUGAAUUGUUUAAAGGGCUUUUCGCAAACUUUUCAAAGCUAGAAUGAACUUAUUUCAGAAACCAAUUGAUUCAACAAUUCAGUUAGCCAAAACAGCAAGCAAAACUGUAAUACUAGAAAAAACAAUCGGUUGUUUCUUCGAAACAAUCGGUUGUUUCUUCGAAACAAUCGGUUGUUUAUACCAGCAAACAACAAACAAACUGAAAUUAAAGAGUUAGGGAUAGAAAGAUUGUAUACAGUUGUUUAUACUGGUUCACUCCAAACUAGAGCUACAUCCAGUCUUCUCAGAAACCCUGAGGAUAUCCACUAAGCAACCACACCUUGAUCACUUACACCACAACCAAGAGAAUGACCUUGAACACCUCAAGAAACACACUCUCCUUGGCCAACACUAAGAUUGCUGAUCUUGAACACCUCAAGAACACACAACCAAUCUCAGCAAAACAAACAAACGAAUUGUUUAGCAGUUUACAAAGAUUACACUUGUUACAUAUCAAAAUCUGAAAUCAAUACAAGUAGAAUCCUAUUUAGCACCUUGAUCAAUCUCAAAACUCUUUAGCAAUCUCAGAACUCUUUGAAAAACUCUUAGAUCAAAACUUUGUUUCAAGAUUCUUUAUACAUCAAAAACAGUUUUUCAGAAUAUAUCUAAGAAUAUAGUUUGUUAUCAAAUCUUAACAAACUCUUAAUUGCAUUUAAAAUAGAUUGGUCAAAGCAUUUAAUGACUGGACCGUAUUCAGUUAAAGCAUUUAAAGCUCAGUCAAAGAAAAUAGCUUUUCUGUUAUGGUUUCAAAACAAACAAUCGAUUGUUUCCUCGAAUCAAUCGGCUGUUUUGUUACUUAACAAAAUUCACCAUUCAAAAACAGUUUUCAAACUUUCUCAAAACACUUAAGUGUAAACAAUCGGUUGUUUCAACUUAGUUUAAAAAACAUUUUGCUUUGUUAAAAUUGAGAUGCUAAUUGCUUUGAGAUUUAAUCUAAGGGUUGAUUACAACAUUAAACUACCCCAGAACAAGGCUUAGACCAGCACAGCAGCAUCAAGCAAAGCAGAGGCUUCAUCAUCCUUCAAAGGAUUUGGAUUCUUCAAAACAUUGAACACCACUUGGUUCAACAAUCUCCCCCUAUUUGAUGAAGACAAAUCCCUGAUUCUUGUGUUGUUCUUGCAAUAGAACUUUGAGCAAUGCAUUGAACUUCUGAUAUUUUGUUAGCAUACAGAUAAACAAUUAAAGCUUAAAACAUCUAAUAUCAGAACCAAAAACAUCACCCAAACUGUUUUUAACAAUAUGAAAAACAGAAACUUAAAACAAAUUGGAAACACAGCAUAUAUCUCCCCCUAUUUGUCUUCACAAAUAGACAAAGAUAAGAGAUAAAAUAAGACAUUGUUCCCAUUACAUCAGAAUAAUCCAGCAACAACAGAAGAAAAGAAAUUUUAAAACCAGAAAAGAGAACAGCCAAAAACAAUCGAUUGUUUUGAUGACCAAUCGGUUGUUUUUCUUUCAAUCUUCUUCAUCAGCAAACUGAAGAUCAAAGAUUUGAUUCUGGACAGCUUCAAUUUGUUCAUCCAGAGUCAUAAACCUUGCAUCCAUGUUGUCAAACCUUGUGUCAAUCCUCUGAAAGUUGCUAACACACAGAUCAUGAAGGCUUCUUUGAUUUUCUGCAAAGCUAUCUAGCCUCUCCAUCAUUUCUCUUUCAAAAGAUGACAUGGUUGACAUUCUUUCUCUUUGAUAUCCAUUAGCAGCACUAGGCCCUGCAUCUUGAAAAUCUCCAGCUGGAUCUUCAUGUUGAACAUCCAUGUCAGCAGGUUCAUCUUGUUCAAGAUGAGCAGCACCACUAGAUGAUGCACCAUGAUCACCAUCCUUACUUAUCCACUUUCCACCUACUUUUGUAAAGCCCAUCUUGUUGAGUGAUCCAUUGUUCAACUCUUGAGUUGACUUGACCAGCUCAGAAGUUUCAUCUUCAAGAUUAACUUCAAAAUAGAGUAGAAACUUAGAUAUUAAAACAGCAUAGGGAUAGUGGUAAUCGCCUAACCUCAUGGCUUUUUGCAUAUGUUCUUUGAUUAUGUGAAUCCAAUUGAUCUUCACUUUCUUGGGGAUGCAUAAGAUAUAAACCAUAUCUUCUUCAGUCAACACAGAGUGGUUACUCCCCCUUGGAGUUAGGAUCCAAGUUACAAUGAGAGCAAGCAACCUCUCAUCAAGCUUCAAGCCUCCAACCGAGCAAGUGCUAACUUGAGAUUGAUUGUUCUUCAAGCAACUUUUGUAGAACUGGAUUUUGUUGAAAUCUUCUACGACACCAAGGUUUCCUUUAUUGAUUCUUAAUCCAGAGAACUUAAGCCCAGCUACAGCAGCCCAAACCUCAUGGGUUAUCUCCAUCUCCACACCUUUCACAUGAGAGACUAAGUUGUUUUCCUCAAACUUCAAGUUGGUGUAGAAAACCCUCACCAAAUCUGGAUAUAUGUUCCCUUUGAGCUCCAUAAACUUUCUGAGUGAUUGGUCUUUGAGAAGCCUCCUCACAUUGUCAAGCUUUUGACUUUUUAGCCAGUUAAAGCACACAACCUUGGGGUUGUUUAUCUUCUUGACACUUGUUUCAUAUCUAUACUUCUCAAUGAGAUCGGUGUCACUAGAAAACCAGCUUUCAAGCCUUCCUUCAGACCUUACAACUCUGGUUUUGACUCUUUUAGCGGUGGGAGGGGUUGAUUUCAUGACAGCAGAGACGAAAACUCACUUCACGGAAAAUUUUCAAGAGAUGGUGCAAGAGAUAUUGCAAGAGAUGUUGCAAUUGGUUGUUCUUGAUGAAAGAAAUUUGCACCUGAUUUUAUAGUAGAAAGAGAAUCAAUUUGAAUUUAAUUUCAUUCAAUGGGUACCUGAUUUUCAGAGAGAGGACUUGACUCAGUUCUGCACUGAAAAUGUCAGAAAAAGCUGAAAAUCACAUGGUCUUCACAUGUGAUCUUUGACUAGUCAUUAAGGCUCUUGAAUUUUCAAGAUUUUGGAAUAUAUUCCUUUAUGACUGUUGUGACUUCUUUCUGAACGUGAUCAGCUUCCAACACAGAUCCUUUGACCAAGAUUCUCCCUUAGAAAAAUAUAUGCAACGGCUAGAAAUUUAAAAGGCAGUUAAAUCAAUUUCUUCACAGUGCUGUCAGACUCAAAACAAUCAGUUGUUUCGAAGAAACAAUCGGUUGUUUUUCUGCAGCAGUUAAAAACUUGAUUUUGUAAUUUUUAACCAUAAACAGAGAUAAAUUAAAGCAUAUGACAUUGAUUAAAAGACAAUUAAUCAUAAGAAAGAACUUUGANNNNNNNNNNNNNNNNNNNNNNNNNNNNNNNNNNNNNNNNNNNNNNNNNNNNNNNNNNNNNNNNNNNNNNNNNNNNNNNNNNNNNNNNNNNNNNNNNNNNGUUGUUUCUUCAAUGAGCCAAUUGCUUGUUGAUCAAGAAAUCUUCUUUUCACUGUUUUGACCUUUUGCAUAGCAAUGAUUCAGCUUCAAUGACUGCCUUUUUCUUCAACAGCUUGAUCAGAUGGCUCAAUUCUUCCUUUUCUCUUCAUUUUUUCUGCAUAAUCAAAUUCAAGUUGCAAGAUUUGGUCCCCUUACAAAUUUGGGUCCACUUGGCUUUUCUUUGUUGUUAGAAACAUCACAUCCCUUAGGAAUCCAUUUCAUAAAACCUUUAGGAACACAAUAUUUUCUAAUUUUGCAGAAUCUAACAGAGUGGCAUUUCUUCAUGCAGUAAAAGCAUGUAACAACCAGUUGUUUCAUCUUAACAAUUGGUUGUUUUUCUGAUUUUCUCAAAAAGCUUUUUGAAAACCUAUCUUGCUUGUUCUGUGGAUUGAAGCCUAAACCAACCUUUCCAAAAACACAGCUUUGAGAUACUAGGACAUUCUCAAAGUUUGACUUUCCUUUUGAAAGCUUGUCCACAGUUUCAACAAGAUAGUGAACCUUUUUCUCAAGAUUUUCACAAUUUGUGCAAUUGAGAGUAUCACACUUGCAAGAGGCAUUUUUGAAAUUAUUNNNNNNNNNNNNNNNNNNNNNNNNNNNNNNNNNNNNNNNNNNNNNNNNNNNNNNNNNNNNNNNNNNNNNNNNNNNNNNNNNNNNNNNNNNNNNNNNNNNNUUUUUGCUUUUCUCAGUUCCUCUUCAAGUGAUUUAACUUACUUUUCAAGCCCAUUGUUAAGAUCUUUGAAUCGGUUGUUUGAAAGAACCAAUCUAUUAGCUUCAUCAUGUGUUUCUUGAAAAGCUUCAAGCAAUUCACUAUAGUUUUGUUCAUUUAAGGAAGCACAUGAACUUACCUCACUUGAACUGCAGGAAUCAUCAUCAUCAUCCUCAGCAACUAAGCAUAUGUUGGCUUUUUCAUCUUCACUUGAUGAAGAACUUGAUGAUGACACUUCAUUUUCAUCCCAAGCUAUGUAAGCUCUUUUUGUCUUGCCUUUCUUCUCCUUGUAGCUUGUCUUUUUCUCUUUGCUCUUGUUGGGACAAUCAGCCUUUAUGUGACCUUGCUCACCACAACCAAAACAAGUAUAGUUAUUUGAAUUAAAUUCAUUGGGUUUCUUGUUUCCAUACCUAUCCUUGUUGUUGUCUUUGUUGCAGUUUCUCUUUAGGAAUUUGCUGAAUUUUCUUGACAGCAAACUAAGAUUUUCCUCAUCACUAUCAUCACUUGAAUCUUGCUUUUCCUUAUGUUUGGAUGCUUUCAAGGCUAUGCUCCUUGUGUGCUUAUCUUCACUUUCUUGAACAUUGAGUCUAUUCAUCUCUAGCUCAUGUUCCCUAAGCUUNNNNNNNNNNNNNNNNNNNNNNNNNNNNNNNNNNNNNNNNNNNNNNNNNNNNNNNNNNNNNNNNNNNNNNNNNNNNNNNNNNNNNNNNNNNNNNNNNNNNAGAAUAGCAGUUACCUUUGGUUGCCAUGCUCUAUCAAGACAUUUCAAGAUCUUGAUGUUCAGCUCUUCUUUAUCAAACGUCUUGUCUAGGCUCAUAAGGUGAUUGAUGAUGUGUGUAAACCUUUUCUGCACUUCAGCUAUGGUUUCACCUUUAAGCAUUCUAAACAUCUCAUACUCUUGGAUGAGAGCAUGCUUUCUAGCACUUUUCACCUCAUUUGUUCCUACAUGAGUGACUUCCAAAGUAUCCCACAUCUCUUUUGAUGAUUUGCAUUGUGAGACCCUGAAAAACUCAUCAGAAUUUAAAAGCAGAGGUUAUAAUAUUUUUGGCAAUGCAAUCGAAUUUGGCCUUUUACUUUCUGCAUCAGUCCAUUGAGACCAUGGCUUCUCAAUGACAGAACCAUCUUUUUCAAACUUUGGGAUAAAAGGGUCAUUUUCAAUUGCAUCCCAAAUUCCUUUGUCAAGAGAUUCCAUAAAUAUUUUCAUUCUAACUUUCCAAAACUGGUAAUUCAAAUCACAAAACAAGGGUGGUCUGUUUAUUGAGGCACCUUCCCCAAACGGUAGUCUAUCAGCCAUUUUGAAAGAUUUUAGGAUCAACUUGAAUGACUUACAAGAACCAAGCUCUUGAUGCCAAUUGUUAGAAAAGAUGGCUUUAAACUAGAGGGGGAGUGAAUUGUUUAAAGGGGGUUUCGCAAACUUUUCAAAGCCAGAAUGAACUUAUUUCAGAAACCAAUUGAUUCAGCAAUUCAGUUAGCCAAAACAGCAAGCAAAACUGUAAUACUAGAAAAAAACAAUCGGUUGUUUCUUCGAAACAAUCGGUUGUUUAUACCAGCAAACAACAAACAAACUAAAAUUAAAGAGUUAGGGAUAAAAAGAUUGUACACAGUUGUUUAUACUAGUUCACUCCAAACUAGAGCUACAUCCAGUCUUCUCAGAAACCCUAAGGAUAUCCACUAAGCAACCACACCUUGAUCACUUACACCACAACCAAGAGAAUGACCUUGAACACCUCAAGAAACACACUCUCCUUGGCCAACACUAAGAUUGCUGAUCUUGAACACCUCAAGAACACACAACCAAUCUCAGCAAAACACACACACAAAUUGUUCAGUAGUUUACAAAGAUUACACUUGUUACAGAUGAAAAUAUGAAAUCAAUACAAGUAGAAUCCUAUUCAGCACCUUGAUCAAUCUAAAAACUCUUUAGCAAUCUCAGAACUCUUUGAAAAACUCUUAGAUCAAAACUUUGUUUCAAGAUUCUUUAUACAUCAAAAACAGUUUUUCAGAAUAUAUCUAAGAAUAUAGUUUGUUAUCAAAUCUUAACAAACUCUUAAUUGCAUUUAAAAUAGAUUGGUCAAAGCAUUUAAUGACUGGACCGUAUUUAGUUAAAGCAUUUAAAGCUCAGUCAAAGAAAACAACUUUUCUGUUAUGGUUUCAAAACAAACAAUCGAUUGUUUCCUCGAAUCAAUCGGUUGUUUUGUUACUUAAGAAAAUUCACCAUUCAAAAACAGUUUUCAAACUUUCUCAAAACACCUAAGUGUAAACAAUCGGUUGUUUCAACUUAGUUUAAAAAACAUUUUGCUUUGUUAAAAUUGAGAUGCUAAUUGCUUUGAGAUUUAAUCUAAGGGUUGAUUACAACAUUAAAUUACCCCAGAACAAGGCUUAGACCAGCACAGCAGCAUCAAGCAAAGCAGAGGAUUCAUCAUCCUUCAAAGGAUUUGGAUUCUUCAAAACAUUGAACACCACUUGGUUCAACAAACAAUAGUAUCUAAUUUAGUUAAUAUAAUUAAUUUUUUUUGUCUCUAAACCUAGUUUGUAUUUAAUGAUUAAUGUUACUUUAUGAUUUCACAGAAGUAUAUUACUACUCUAUGAACAUAAACUAUAUAUUUUUCUCAUAACUGGGGAUGCUAAGGAAUUCAGUUGUUGUUAUACAAGCCAAGGGCUCAGGGUUACAUUCAGUUACGACUCCUAUUGAUAAUCAUCAUGUGGGGGUCUCUGCUCCUGUGGCUUUACCAUCUUUGUUGCGUCCUACCUAUCCUCGAAAGGCUAAAUCACCUGCAGAUUCUAAAGCACCAAUUAAUAGUCCAAUUGAUGGUCAUCAUGUGGAGGUCUCUCCUAUUGUGACUGUACCAUCUCUGUCGCCUCAUACCACCCCUUGGAAGGCUAAAUCUCUUGGGGAUGUUAAAGCACCAUCGUUGGUCCUGCAAAAUCAAUUUUCCUCUUUUGGUGGUUUGGAAACUACAAAUGUUAUUUCAAAAUUUUGGGUUGAUCCAAAUGAGAUGGAGGAGGAUGUUAGUGAUACUGGGGAGGAAAUAGUUUGCAUUAAGAGAAAAAACAGGGAGACCACCUAGGCGACUGGUAAAUAAAUAAAAAAACUGCUUAGGCAGUUCUAUCUACAACGUCGCAAUGAAGGUCUCUUAAUUUUUCUGGAAUGUUAGAGGACUAGGAAACCACAAAAAUGUGGACAUGUUGAUUAGUUUACUUAAACUACAUAAACCCCUCCUUGUUUUUCUUGUUGAACCUAUGAUGUUGUAUACUGAUUCUUUCGGCGUCCUUUUCAAAUCUGUUAAUAUGCAUUUGGUGGCUACGUCUCCUCUUGUUAAUAAAGUGUCUAAACCUUGGUGUUUGUUGGUUCCUAAUCUUGUCCAAAAUUUCUUAGUCAAUGAUCAAUUUAUUUUUGUAACUUGUCUUCUACAUGAUAAAUGUAGGGAUGACAAAGCGGGAUGGCUCGUGCGGGCCGACCCACAGCCCGCUGGUAAAAAACGUGAGGCAGACUGACUUUUUCAACCCGCUAACCCACAUUAGCCCGCAACCCGCGCGGGCCAGCAGCGGGGCGGGGCGGGAUGACCCGCUAACCCGCAAGAAAAAAAAAUUGGCACUUAGCAGCAACAAGGGAACGUAAUUAUGUUUUCACAAAAUUUCAAAGAAAGAAGCACAACACAAUCACGUCAAUAAUGUUUAUGUGUAAUGUUUUUGAAUUAAUGUUUAUGUUUAUGUUUAAUGUUUUGGAAGUGGAAUAAUAGUGAUAUUUGAUAUUUAUCUUAAUGUUUAAUGUUUUGAUGUUUGACUAUGUUUGAAAAGGAAGAAAAAUAAUUUAGGUUUGAUAGUAACAAAUAUAUAGGUUUAAUUUGAUAAUUUUUUAAGAACAAAAUGUAAAAAAAAAAAAUAUUUAAUUUAAAAAAAAAAGAAAAAAGAACGCGGGCUGGCCCACAAACCCGCGGGCCAGCUCUUAUGCAGGGCUGGUUGAGAAUUCUAGCCCGUAAUAACUUUGUGGGGUGGGCCAACCCAACCCGCAUUUUUGUGGGCCAAGCGCGGGGCGGGCUGGCCCGCUUUGCCAACCCUAGAUAAAUGUUUUAGCUUUGCAGGUGUUUAUGUUGCUACCUCAUACUUGGCUAGAUGGUUUUUGUGGAUGGAUUUUAGUUUCUUCACAAGGUCGUGGUGUAUUCUGGGAGAUUUUAAUAUUGUGCUCUCGACGGAUGACUGUAAAGGGGUGGCUCUUAAUCAGGUUUCCUGUAAUGAAUUUCUUAAUGGGAUUAAUAUUAAUGAUCUUUCUUGUAUGCUUUUUUACUGGAUCUUGUUAUACUUGGUGUAAUGGAAGGAGAGGGUUGCAUAGAAUUCAUAGAAGAUUGAAUUGGGCUUUAUGUAAUUAAGUGUGUCUAGAUGAAUGGGACUCUUGUAGUUAUCAAGUUCUCGUUAAAAAUUGUUUUGAUCAUCCUCCUAUUCUUGCAAUAAUUCGUUGAGGAAUAUUAGCAAUUUUCGUUUCUUUUCUAUGUGACUUCAGAACACUUCAUGUCUGAAGCUUAUUCAUGAUUCUUGGGCUAAUAAGGUUGUUGGUUGACCUAUGUUUAUUUUGCAACAUAAGUUAAAAAGGUUGAAAAUUGACCUCCGAGAUUGGAAUAAAAAUUCUUUUGGUAAUGUUCACAAUGCAGUUCUUCUUAAGCAGGGUCUCCUCCUUGGUAUUCAACAAAACUUAGAGACUGUUAGUUUGUCUAAUAUUGUUGGGCUUCUCUGUCAAGAAAAGAUUGUUAAGGAGGAGCUUAACCAUGCUCUUCACUGUCAAUAUUUGUUUAGGAAAGAAAGGGCUAAGAUGUUAUGAUUCGAAGAUGGAGAUCGAAAUACUGCUUUUUUCCAUGUUGUGGUCAAAAGGACAAAUAAUUUUAGUGGGAUUCAUCGUCUAUGGAUUGAUAAUGAGGUUACUCGAGAUCCUAAACUCAUUGAGGAUCAUAUUUUGGACUUUUAUAAAAGUCUUUAUGUUGAGUCUAUUUCUAAUGUUCUGGAUACAAGUAAUAUGCUUGGAACUUUGCUUAUAGCAACAAGCCUUGGUCUUUGCUCUUGAAAGCUAGGGUUCUUAAAUCAAAAUACGGGUUUAGAAUGGUGUAUAGAUCCUCAUCUCUUUGGCCUAAAAUUAAGCAGUUUUAUUCUACUAUAUUUGAUUAUACUUCUUGGACUGUUGGUACAUGUUCUUUUAUUAAUUUCUGGAAUGAUAAAUGAUGUUAAACUACUUCUUUAGCAAAUAUUGCAGGGUUAUCUGAUGGUACUAGCAUUCCGGAUACAGUGUCUCAGUUUUGGACAAGUUGUCAUUAGAAUAUUUCAUAUCUUUACAGCAGAUGCCUCAUUUUUUUAAUCAUAUCAUGGUUAGGGAGGAACAAGAUAUUCCUAAUUGGAUUCUAGAUGACUCUGGUCGUUUAACUCUUAAAUCGGUUAUGACUUUUAUCUUGGAACCAGGAGUUCCAUGUGGUUAGGGUAAAUUCAUUUGGUCUUCAUCUAUUUCGGCUUCCAAAACUAUAAUACUCUUGAAAGUUUUUCAUGGGCGGCUUCCUACAGAUCAACAUAUUCAAAAUAAAGGUUUGCAUAUAUGUUCUAUGUUUACGCUUUGUGAAGAGCAUGAGGAAUCUAUCCAACAUUUAUUUUUUAAUGUUCUAAUGCUUUGAAUAUUUGGAGUUGGGUUCGACAGAUUUUUCCUACUUCUUAUUUCUCUAAUAAAGAUGAUCUUCUUUCUUUUAAUCAAAGCGAAUGUAGUCCUUUGGUUAAAUUGACUAAGCUUGUUGUGAAAACUUUUUCUAUUUGGAUGAUAAGGCAUAUAAAGAAUUAUGCUAGACUUUAGGAUAAGAUUGAGUUAUUUCGAUUAUUAAAGAUUUAACUUGUCUAGUGGGAAAUUCGUCUAAAGCUUCAAUGAAGAAUGAUAUGUUGGAUUUCAAAGUGAUUAAGUUUUUUGGUAUUAAUACUCGUAGUGAUAAAGUUCUUUGUCAUCUUCCUGUUAGAUGGGAUUUUCUUUCACCAGGCUGAGUUAAAAUUAACAUUGAUGGAAUGUGGAGGUAUUUUCCAUGGGAGUAUAGGGGAGUUUAUUUGUGCUUUCUCUGCAUUUUUUGAAGUUCAGACUUUUGUGGAUGCUAAGUUUUAUGGAGUUAUACAUGUUAUGGAGGAAGCUUAAAAGAUAGGGCUUACUAAUGUGUCUGGCUUGAAUGUGAUUAUGCGUUGGUUUAUGUUGUGUUUACUGCUAGGACUAAUGUUCCGUGAAUGCUUCGUAAUCAAUGAAAUACUUGUCUUAAUUACUGUGAAGAAUAAAAAAUACAGUGUAACUGGUGCCGAACACGAUCUAAAUAUGACUCUACUUAGCUAACAUAAUCCAUGUCCGUAAGGUAAACAAAAUACAUGAGAAGACCUAUAGAAAAAAAAAACAGAAUAUAUAAAAAAAGAAAACAUAACCCUGCAGGAUCUUCGUAAACAAAACUUCAAUAACAGACUGACAGGUACACUACAUCUAUCUAUUAUGAUAGGUUUUAUUGUUUAUUUUCACUAGAGAUAAUUUUUAAGAAAAAUCAUACUGUGAAAACAUAAGUUAAGCUUAAAUUAAUUUAUCAUUUUGGUUUCUAAAUUUCUUUUAUUUUAGACUUUAUAAAAGAAAUUUUACUGUUUUAAUUUGAUCUCUAUGGUUAGAGUAUCUCAUUACAUAAGACAUAAUACUAACUCAUUAAAACACACAUGACAUAAUAUAUUAUGGUAACUUAAUAUUUAAUAUGACACCUAUAAAAAGGAUUUUGAAUGUAAAAUUAGUAACAAAUGUGUCUCAUCAAGUUACGUUCUUUGAUUUUCUCUUUUUUUUAGUAUAUAUUAAAAAGUUGUUAAAAUAAUAAUCAAAAUUUAUAGUAAUAAUAUAAUAAUAAAGAAAAAUAUUUUAUUAUUUUAAUUGGUGUAUAUAUUUCAUUUUUAAAAAAAUAUUUUUAACUGUGACUUUGUUUUACAUAAAAGAAUUUAUUAUUUACAUAAAUACAUUCAAUAUCUCAUUGUCAGAAUCAUCAAUCUUUAUAUAAACAAAUCAUUUUUAUUUUUUUAAUAAAAAAAGGUGAAUAAAAAAUUAUGUAUUAUUCCAACACUUCAUAGAUUCUAAAAAAAGUGUUUUAAAAAAUAAUUUAUUAUUAAAAUAAAAAUUAACAUUAAAUUAUAAUUUUUUAAAAUAAUAUAUAAUGCACAUUUUUCAUUUUGAAUAUAUAUUUCAUAUUUAUAGUUAUCCUUAAUUAUAUUUUCAAGCCUAAAAUAAAACCAUCUUAGACAUAAAACAUCAUAUAUUUUGGAAUCUCUUUUCAAAAAUAGAAAUUAAAAGCCAAAGUUAGCUUAAGAUGCAUGGUUUGAAAGCCUAUGAUGUUUAUAUUAAAAUGGUGGCUAAUUUUCUUCUUCCUUUUAUAUAAAAAGCUUUCAUGAUAGGUAUCACUAUGCUACUUGACAUCUCAAUUAUACUGAUACCUCAAGUAACAAUAAUCAUUUGUCAUCACAUGAAAAACAUAUUAUUAAAAAAAAAUAAUAAAAAAAAUACAAAAAUAUGGGGGAACUAGACGAAAACUCAUAUGUUAACAAAAACGAUACAUAGGUAGGGGUGGCAAAGCGGACCGACCCGCCCCGAACAGGCCCGCCCCACUUAGGCCCGCAAAAAUGCAGACCGGGUUGGCCCGCCCCGCAUACAAAAUACAGACUGGUUUUCAUGACCCGCCCCGCAUGCAGGUUGGGUCGUGGGCUUGCGAGUCGGCCUGCUAUUUUUUUAACGUAGAGGAGGAGUGGAGGCAGUAGCGGUGUGCAGCAGUGGAGCAGCAGUAGCGCGCAACAAUUGCAGGCGAAGCCACGCGGCGUCGCAAGCGGCGGCGCUGCAAAGGAGAGUGUGUCAUGUGUUGGGUGCGUUUUUGGAACAACGCAACUACGUUGUGAUUUGAGUGAAAACCUAAUUUUCUUUCACUCAAAGUUGUCACUCCUCCACUUGACCAUUGUUGUCAAGUCAAUUAAUUUUUAAUUUUUUUUUGCAGGCUAGCGGGCCAGCCCGCCCCGCCCCGAUGCUGGCCCGCGCGAGCUGCAAGUUAUGCGGGGCGGGUUAAUGCGGGUCAGCGGGUUGAAAAUGUUAGCCUGCCUUGCGUUUUUUACCACGGGCCACGGACCGGCCCGCCGCACUUUGCCACCCCUAUACAUCGGUACACUAUAGCUAUUAAUAAAGAAUUUUAAGAACAUACUAGAUAGAAGCCUAUUAUACCAAUGAAAGGAUUCUCUGUGAAUAAAUUCUAAAUUAGCCAACUUAUCAGCACACACAUUCCUUUCACGAAAAAUAUGAGUAACCCUAAGCCUGAUUUUUCCACAGUAAUUAAGACAAGUAUUCCAUCGAUUAUGAAGCAUCAAAGGAACAUUUGUCCUAGCAGUAAAUGCAUCACAAACCAAGGCAGAGUCACAUUCCAGCCAGACAUUAGUAAGUCCCAACUUUUGAGCUUCCUCCAAAGCAUAUAUAACUCCAUAAAAUUCAGCAACCAAAGCAGUCUGAACGUCAAGAAACAUAGAGAAAGCUCCAAUAAACUCCCCCAUACUCCCACGAAAAAUACUUCCACAAGUGGCAAGACCUGGAUAACCCCUAGCAGCCCCAUCAAUGUUAAUUUUAACCCAACCUGGUGAAGGAAACUCUCAUCUAACAGGAAAAGGACGAAGAACUUUACCAUUACGAGUAUUAAUACCAAAAAACUUAAUCACACUGAAAUCCAUCAUACCAUUCUUCAUUGAAGCUUUAAACUACUUUCCCACUAGAAAAAAUAAAUCUUUAAUAACUGAAAUAAUCCUAGAAACCUCAAUCUUAUCCUGAAAACGAGCAUAAUUCCUCAUAUGCCAUAACAUCCAAACAGAAAACGUUAUCACAACAAGCUUAAUCAAUUUAACCAAAGGACUACCAUCACUCUUAAUAAAAUAAAGAAGAUCAUCCUUAUUAGAGAAAUGAGAAGUAGGAAAAAUAUGUCAAACCCAACUCCAAAUAAACAAAGCAUUAGGGCAUUCAAAAAAUAAAUGAUGAAUAAAUUCCUCAUGCUUUUCACAAAGCGUACACAUAGAACAAAUAUGGAGACCUUUACUUUGAAUAUGAUGAUCUGUAGGAAGCCGCCCAUGAAAAACUUUCCAAAAGACAAGAGUUUUGGAAGGUGGGAUAUCUGAAGACCAAAUAAAUUUACCCCAACCACAGGGAACUCCUGGUUCCAAGAAAAAAGUCCUAGCCGAUUUAAGAGUAAACCGACCAGACUCAUCUAGAAUCCAAUUAGGAACAUCCUGAUCCGCCCUAACCAUUAUAUGACUAAAAAGAUGAGGCAUCUGCUGUAAAGGCAACGGAAUAUUCCAAUCAUGACCUAUCCAAAACCGAGAAACUGUAUCUGGAAAGCAAAUACCAUCAGAUAACCCUACACUAUGUGCUAAAGGAGUAGUAGAACAUCAUUUAUCAUUCCAAAAACUAAUAAAAGAACUUGUACCAACAGUCCAAGAAAUAUAAUCAAGUAUAGUAUAAUAAAACUGCUUAAUUUUAGGUCAAAGAGAUGAAAAUAUGUAAACCAUUUUAAACUUGUAUUUUGACUUAAGAACCCUUGUUUUUCAAGAACCAUCGGGAAAUAAUUGUCAUUAUAGGGGUUAGUAAAAACUUUCGUUAAUUUGUUAGCGACGCUGGAUAUACCAGGGGAAAAACAAACUGCGGGUAACACACUUAGUAGGGGUUAAAAGUACCAAAAAGUUAAAUAUAAGUUUUGUUAAAAAUAAUUUUUCUUGCAGUGUUAGCAACUCAUCCAACUAUUUAUUAAAAUCCUCAAGUACAACGGUAGAUGGUCUUGUUUCAUCGAUUGAACCUCUCAAUCCCGAUUAAAAAAAAUAAAAAUCUGGAUCAAGAGCUGCUGAUAAUAAAGUCUAAAGAAAUCUAAUCCUAACAAAAAGUGCCUCCUAACAAAAAGGGCCUCCACAGCAAGUCUCUUGGUAGUAAUACUUUCACAAUUGGACCAAAUAUAGUCUCCAAAAGAUCAAUUGAGCAUACUUUCUUGUCCUUUUCAAGUAUGUUAUUAACUUAACAUUGUUAUGAUCCUAAAAUAAAAACAAUGCAAACAAAACCAAAGUAAACCCUAAACAAAACCAAACUAUCAUUCAGGCUUAGUUACAAAUGGAGAAAAUGUUUAUAUAUGAAUUUUAUGAAACAACCAUGUUCAUGGAAAUUUGGCGUUUUAGCUUUACCAGGUGUAAGGAAGUGGUGAACCUGAGGCUGCAGAAUAAAUUAAAAAACCUUAAUUAACCUUAUUGAUAAUAAAGAUUAAGAAUCAAAUGGAGGAUGAAUUGUACUUCAAGGAGAUAAUUUUUUUCAGCUUAGAAUUUCAUAUUUUGAGUUUUGAUUACUAUAAAAACGAUAUUCUCUAAUUUUAAUGAAUGAAAUAAAUUUAAUUUUUUUUAGUGAGAUAACAUCCAGACUCUACUUUUACACUACCUUGACUACAAAAGAAAUUACUUUCACCAAGGGAAACUCUAUCUAAAAGAAAUUUCAAAGUCUUGAUUGGUGGAUGAGAGAAGCAAUUGUCCAAACCACAAUUGUUUUAACCUUUGUAACAAUUUUCCGAAAGAAUGUGUCUAUUAGAUUAUAUAUAACAGAAAAAUUAUGCUAGUAUUAAUUAAAUGGCCCAGCAUAGGAUUUAGAGGACAAUAUUCCUAAUCCCCUAAACUGCCAAGUCAUAGUUUCCAAAAAAAAUAAUAUAAAUAAAAUGUAGUUGGAUUUGACCAAUCAUAACCCCUUAGUCUAAGCAACAUCAUCUUGCUAUUUCAUGAUCAUAAAUCCACAACUGGAAGGAUUUUUUCCAGUUUCCAAGCUAAAAAAUGGUACGAAGUUUGUCACAUCAGUGAAAAAAAAAAUAUAAAAACAAAGCAACUUUGACAAUUUGAGAGAAAAGCUUCAAUGAAGUGUCUUCUAACUUUUAAUAAAGCAGCCUCUCAUACCUAAGUUCAAAGCAUAUUUAAUUACGUAUUGCAGUUAAAGAUGUACACAUAAUUAAAUCACUGGUAAUAUGAAUCUCAAGCAAUCGAUACGUAAUUAUAAAAUUAAAUAAGCUAGUGACAUGUAUAGAUCCCAACAAAGAACAAAAUCUCUAAAAAAAAAAACAUAGGCAAGAAAGAAUAUUGAAUGCAAUAACUUACAUCAACAUCAGACAAGUGCCCUACCAUUAUCCAUGGACGAAAUCUUAGCAGUUCUUUCAUGUGAAGAGCUGGCAAAACAAUGCCAUAAGAAACUAAAAUGCAUCCAUAAAAAGAAAUAAAAAACACAACCUUCCAUAAUAUACAUGCGACUUUUUUUCUCAUAUAACAUUAUUUUCACUUUUAUUUUCCUAAAUAACAUCUUUUUAUUUUAAUUUUCUUGUGUAACAUUGUUUUUUCUCAUGGUUUCAUUUUGUAUUUUCGAAAAAAAAAAAUCUCUUAGAAUUUGGUUUCUGGAAUGGUGUUUUUAGAAUUUUUUAUUUCUUUGUCUAGAGUGAAUGGAAAAGAAAAAAAAUAUAAAAUAAAAUAAAAAUAAGUUUAAAAACUAAUAAAAGAAAAUAAAAAGAAAAAUAAUUAAUAAAUUAAAAAGAAUUAAUAAUUUUAAUUUUGGAUGAUUAAAAAUAAAUAUAUUGGUUUUAAAAAAAAUAUUUUUAAUAUUUAAAAUAGUUAGAAAUAUAAUUAUUGAAGAAAGAAAUGAGUUUUUGCAAAGAAGAAUGAUGUCCCAAGACAUGAAAAAAGAAGAAUAAAAUAUAUUUUCUCUAAAAAGCAUAAUUAUGCAAGUUGCAACAAAUAACUUACUGUACAAAGCACAACAUUGACUAUUCAACAAAAUCCCAUAGAUGCAUGCCCGUCAUAAAUACAAAACUCUCUUAUCGUAACAAACAAAAAUGUAAUGACAUUUUACCAGUAAUAACUAUUAAGUAAAUUACAGAGGAAAAAAAGGAAGAACUAGUUUGUGUCAUUUACACGUUAUACCACAUUAAACAUGCAAGAAAAUAAAUCGGGUGAGAUUAUAAAGGCUUUCCCUCACAAAUAUUAAGCUAAAAAGAGAGGGGACAAUUUGCGUCAAUUAGACUAUCUCUUUGAACUCUUCAUUCCUGUCUUAUUAUAUUUGUUUUACAAAAUAAAGUGGAUCCCAUUAACAAGACAUUUGGAGCAUAUACAGAGGUGAAUGUAGUCUAACUUGCAUAUACAAGCAUAUGCUAUAUUGUUUAAGCAAUUCAAGAAGUAGACAUCAUAUUUUAAUUUUUAACUUUAAUUUUGUAUUCCUUCAACUGGUAUCUUGUUUUACAUUCACUAUCAGAAUGUAAAAUUUCACAUUAAAUUGUUUUACCUGAACUUCCCAGAAAGGGUAACUGUGACCAUAUAACAAACAAGAUUGGCAUUAAUUUUGGUACUUCAUAAUCGAACUGCAUUAAAAUUUAAGAUUCGUAAAGUUCAGAACUAAAACUAUAAUAUAAAAUAAAUAAAAUUAGAACGAAUAAAAAAUGAUAUCAAGAAAGUGUAGUUGUUGAGUUUGUUGAAGAUGAAAGGAUAAAGUCUCCCACAUGACUAAAAGAGUUUGCAUAAACAAGUCCUAAAUGACCUUGAAACAAUGUAUAUUGUCUUUUCCCAACACCUUGCCCUAACAUUUGAUCAUUCUCACCUGCGAAAGAGCUAAUAAUAGCAAAAUUAAUAACUAGACUUUUACAACAUGCAAAACAAUUUGGUCAUGCUCAAAAUAUUUGCCCCACCACAAGUAUGAUUAGGCUUUCCAGGAGAUAGUUGAUAACGAUAUCUGCAUAUUGAUUAUGUUGAUAAAUAUUAAAGUGUGCCAAAAACAAGAAUGUAGAACAAGUAGAACUAAAUAUUAAACACUUUUGUGCAUGUGCCUGAUGUAGUAUCUCCUAGAUAUACCAAAACAAAACACAAUUUAUCUAAAAACUUCCUAAAAAACUUAAGCAUUGUACAAAGAUCACCCACCUCUCUCACUCCUAACCCUUUUCCUUCAUCACCAACCAUCUUUCCAAUAAACCAACACCUCUCCACUCCACAGUUCAAUCACGUUCUAUCAUUGCUAACCUCUCUCACUCCAAAUCGUUCGAUCACGUUCAGUAAAGAGAGAGUCCAAAUGUAAGUAUAGAUUGAGAAAAUUAAGAAGAAGAAAAAAAUCACCACAGAAACAACAAAAUUAAGCAAGAGUAUAUGAAAUAAACAAAUCGAUCCUUGCGGAACGCAAUUAAAGUAAUUGAAACACACUUUGCACAAAGGAAACACGAUUUGUAGAGGAAUCAGUUCAGUGGUGGACCAAAGGUAGAAGAAGCUUCCAAAGUCAUUCCGAAAGUGUUUGGCAGUGCGAUGAUGAGGUCCAAUGCAGUGGGUAAGGUGAGAGUUAAAGGAGAAAUUAUACGUUUAGAGGAGAGUGGAGAAAUUAGGGGUUUUCUGAGAGAAAUUAUGAGUCUAUUGGAAAAAAAAUACAAAAUUCUUUAUUAAAUUAUUUGAAAAAUAAUUAAUUGAAUUUAUUUACUAGAGUUUGAAAAAACCUAAUGUAGUUCUUCAAGGUUAUGUAAUAAACUCUUAGAUUUUAAUGGAGAUUAAAACAACCUUUGCUAGUCAAAUGCAUUGUUGAAGUUUAUAUAACCUCAUAUAAAUAACCCCCACUAAAAUCAAUUUUUUUAUAGUGAUGGUGGUGUUCAAAUUUUGAAACCAUAACAAGGAUGCUAGAAAUCAAACAAAAUCAAUAAUAAUGAAAAUUCAUCAUUUAAUCAGUCAUUAAAUAUAAUACCUUAUAAGAUAAGUGUUUCUCUGAAGCACAUGAAAUAUAAGAUUAAGUGUAUCUCUUUCCUUACACAAUGGACUCAUUAAUUCAACCUAAAUUUCUUUUCAACCAAUAAAAAAAAACUAUUCUUGUAAGUAAGAAUCACAAGUUUUUCUCAAGAUUGUAAUGAGACUUAGCUUUCAACAAAAUUUCAAUUUUCAAGAAUAUAAUUAGUUAUAAGAGUUGAGAGAAUACAAUUCAAAAUCAAGUUUUUUUUCUCUCUCAUUAGUGUCUCCGUGUGUAACUAAUAACAUUAAACACCUCAUUCUCAUGUACCUUAAAUCAUGCGUUUACAUUUAAGGAUAUGUCGCUAAAGCGAGUCAUUAUCGUUUAAGCAAUCCAUCUUUACUAAAUAGAUAAAAAAAGUCUAUCACUCAAUCUAUAAACACAUCACUUGAUUGAUACCUCAUUAUUUGAGCAAAUUCAUAUCACUUAAACUUCAAAGAAGAAAAAAUUAGUUUGACAUCUCCCUUGAAUGAGCAUCCAAAUCUCAAUGGAGAGAAAAUUAACACUGACUCUCAUUUCCGUAAGCAUUAUACUAUCCCUCAAGUGAUCCCUCAAGUGAUGCAACUUCAAGCAUCAAGCCACCACUUCAAAAUUCUAUCUCAAAUCUCAUGCUCUUUAUUAUUUGAACAAUAAAUCUUUAAAAAAAACUUAUUUUAGAAUCUGCUCAAACUUCAAGUUAUGAUUUGAACGAAUAGUUGUAUAACUUAAGCAUCCAAUUAAAUACUUAAAUAAUAAUAUUUUGUUAUAAAAAAAUAUCACUACUUAUGUGUCAUCACAUUUUCCUUUUGAUAUUAUGAAAAUAUUCUCAUUAACAUAUGUUUUUCGAAAAACGAUAACUUUGCACUCAACCGAUAUUUAUAGAAAACUAGAUUUUUCAUAACAAAAAAUGUUUCUAAGUACCAAAAACUAAUUGUAACACCCCAAAAUUUACAUAUAACUAUUAAAUAAAAGUUCUACCAAUUUCUAUACAAACUUGGAGUUUUUCAAAACAUUCCUAAUACACGAUUAGGAUUUAUAGAAAUACAAAUAUUUACAUAUCCAUUGCUCAAAAUAAAAUUCAGAAACCUCUAAGGCUCUCCUGCACCUGUAUGGUCAUCUACUCGUGUACAUAGUACAGUCAUCGCUGUUUAAACACAACACAAAAAGCAAGGGUAAACUAGUGAAAAUAGAAUUUUAUAAUAUACACACUUAAAUCCAAAAAGAAAACCACAUUACAUGACCAAUUUCUCAAAUUAUUCAAUUUUCUUCAAAUUUCAACAAUGAAACAAUCACAUAGAUCUCACAUGGAUCUACACAUCCAAAAUAUUCAACAAACAACGUCUUUCGGAAGACCCGUAUCAAGUAAGUCCUACCAGAGACUAACACUUGAUCCAAAGAUUACUAGCGAAUCCAACAGAAAGGAUCAGGGUAAGUUCAAUACAACCCAAGCCGUGCAUCUCAUAUGUCACGGUGUGCAUGAACUCCCCCAUUAGCUUCUCACCACCUGAUAUCUUAGUCUAUGUGACUUAGAUCAUCAGGGAAGCUCGGAGAUCUCUCUUACCACAUAGACAUCAAUACUUAAUACACAGCAAACACCAGUCCAUACAUUAUCCCGACAUCAAUACUUAAUACACAGCGAACAUCAGUCCAUACAUUAUCCCAAAUGUAUGAAUUCAAUUUCACACCAUUUCAUCAUACAAUAUCAUUCCAAACACGAUCCACAACAUUCAAAAGCGUAAUUAACAUAAAAAAAACACCUUAAAUAUUAAACCAUCAAAAUCUAAUAUUUUUACAAAUUUAAAUGAUAUAUAAACAAACAACAGCCCUGCAAGAGAAAUUGAAUAUUGGGACCACGUCCCUUCCGCAUUCAGAUCUUCUAUCCUAGGGUGCUAUUAAAAAUUAAAUUUAGCUUCACUUACCUUAAUUGUUUGCUUUCCAAGCAACUUCUAGAAUUUUAUUUCCCACAGUCUGGAUAAACUUCAAGAUUUACGGCCUAAUGCAAGUUAUCCAAACAGAACAAAAUUCAGUAUAUAAUAGAAUAAGUUGAGAGGAUUAAACUUCUCAACUGACCCCACCAAUAUUGAUGACUAAAUCCUAAGGAAAAACAGAGAACAAAAGAUAUUUAGAGUAAAAAUGAACUUACUUUGUUUGAAAAUCUGAUCGGAUAGAAAUGUAGUCUGACUCCCCAUCUACAAUAUGACAUGAUCAGAUUUUGGAAUAGAUGAUGUAUGGGAGAAAAAAUGAAGAGAGAAGGGAGAGGAGAGAAGUUAAUAGAGAGAGAAAGCAUGAAAAAAAGAAAAGAGGAAAAUGAUGGGGCAGGGGGCUGCUGCUUUUUUUAUUUACGGGGGAUUACAUUAUACACAGUUUCUAAUGAUUUUUACACUACUUCAUUUAUUCUCAAUUUGAUUAGCUAAACCCAAAGUUAUAUUUAAGAACAUUUAUAUACAAAUCUCUAACUAAUUCAAAUCAAUGUGUAGAGCUCUCAAUAGCACCAAAUCAUAUUUUUAUUGAUUUAUAAUUACCAACACUGUCAACAAUAAAAGACUUUAUUCAGCUAACUCCCUUUAACUUUUGCUUUGCUACAAAACAAAACAACGUCAUCUCCUAAAAGUUUCCCAACUCAACAAAGAAAAUCUCCGAAACUUGAUCCUAUAAAAAAUUAACACAUUUACUUCGUCGUAUCAAUAAAAAAUCGGUUGAUUUGGAUAAAUGAAGUAUAAAAUCACACAUACUAAAAAAAAAGAGAUAAAAUCCAUUAUAAGAGAAGAAAGAACUUAGAUUUAAUUAGUCUAUCUUGAUUUCUCCUUCGUUAACUCCUCAAACACGUAAUAUAAUCUUAGAAAUGAUAGACAAUCAAAACUGAUUGAAACUUAAAGAAAAAAAAAAGUUUAAGUUUUUAGAGAUUUGAAGUUUAUAAAAACAAAGAAUGACCUAUUUUAAAUUUAUUUUAAAAUAUUAAAAAAACAUUUUACUUUAAACUUAAUCUUCUAAAGUCAAUUAAAUUGAGUCUUACAAUGGGAACAAGUAAAUGCUUUAAAAUAUAGUUUUAACAUAAUUGUAAACUUAAUUUUAACAUAAUUGUGAACUUUUUGAAAUCAAUUUAAAUUAAAGAAGAAACAAAAGAAAAAUUAAUUUUAAAAUCUAAAGUUGGUUGACUUUUCUUUGAAACAUGUGACAAAUUACAACUAGAGAUAAUCCAAAAACAAAAUCCUAAAAUACUAGUAUAUAAAAAUGAUCUCUUAAUUGUAGAUGUUGUUCUUAAGCACCAUACUUUUGUGUAAUACCUCUUUGUAAAAUUGAAACAAAAAUUUUAAGUUCAAAUUAAAAAAUAAAAGUAUUUAGUCUUUUAGUAUUUGGCACGUUUGUUUAUUAAAACAGAAAAUUGAAAUUAAUAUUCAAUUAACCUUAGCAUGGACUCUUUUAUCUUUUCUCCUAUUAAGGUUAUUUUUCUUUCUUUUAAUAAAUGCAAGCAAAUGACAAUUAUUUAAAGACCAAACACCUGAACAAUUAAUGAUAUUGAAACAAAAUUAAGAAAUUAAUUAUUAUUUUUACUAAAACUGCCUUUUUAUAUUAAAAACGAAAUAUGUAUCUAUAUUGAAUCCACUAUUUAUUUAUUUUUAAUGAGAUUAUAUUGUAUUGUAUAAGCAGAGCUAUCUUACUUUUUUAUAUUUAAAUUACAGAAUUUUUCAUAUUUAAACAAACCCAUACAACACAAGAAUAUUAUAUUCAGUUGAUCAUAACCGAGAGCACAUUUUUAAGAAUAAUCAUAAAUUUUUUUUAUAUAUGUAAAAGAAUCUUAAAUUAGUAUAAAAUAUAAAAACAACGAUCUUUUAUUUAAUACGUUUUUACGGUCAAACACUGUCGUCCAAAAUACAGUGACAUUUUUUAAAUUAACUUCAUUUAAGAGUGCGGCUAUUUGUUAAGAAUGCGAUUUUACCUAAUAGUCGCAUUUUAAAAAUAUUUUUUAACCUAACACUAAAGCGCACCACUUACACUUUUAUACUUCUUUUCUUCUUUGACGCUUCGUUUUCUCUUCUCUUUCUGCUCUCGUGCUUCCUCACGUACGUCUUCCUUGAACUUGCAUUGUCUUCUUCAUGCCAUUGAUAAGUUCGUUUUCGAGCUCUCUACUUCUUCUUCACCAUUGGUUUAUGUAUUUUUUUAGUUUCUCUUAUUUGUUUGUUUUCUGCCAUUACUUGAAGGUCACCAUUGUUUCAUUGUCACACUGUUGUUUGAAUUUUUGUUGUGCCGUAUUUGUUUUGUCCCUGCUGUCGCCGCCGCCGUUGGUGUCAGUCCCGCGCCACUCUUCACCAUCACGGUUGCCUUCACGCACAAGGUUGGUGGUGUUUUAAAUUUUUAAAUUUUUUUUCAUGUUAUUAAUUUGUUUAUUUUUUAUUUAUUAUAAUUAGUAUUUUUUAAAAUUUAUAUUAUUUUUGUUUUUAGGUUAGAAUAUAAUUAUUAAAUUAUUAGAUGAUAGAUAGAUUUAUAUUAUUUAAUAUUUAUAAUUAAUUUAAUGAUUUUUAAUUUGAAUGUGUUGGUAUUGACCCUCGGCAAUUGAUACGUACUGGUAUUGAGUCUAGGGGUGUUCAACCCUUGACAAACGUGAGAUAGAACACUCAUUAGUAAACACAUGAAUGACUAUUACAGACAAUAAUGAAUCGAAAUUGGAUUAAAUUUUCGCAUAAGUGAUGAGUAUGAAAGAGGAGUAGAAGAAUUUAUACAAUUUGUGCAAAGUGAUGUGAAUAAUAGUAGUCAUGAUGGAGCAAAGAUUAGGUGUUCGUGCAUUAACUAUUUAAAUGGAAGGAUACUGGAUAUUAAGAAAAUCAGGAAGUACCUUCUAUGUGAUGGGCUUCUUCGAUCUCAUACAACUUGGAUAGGCCACUGUACACAUACAUGUCAGAUUUGUUAGAAUUUAUAGUUGGGGAUCUUGAACUUAAUAUAAAUAUAAUUCAAUUUUGUAUGAUGUCAGUAUCUUUACCUAUAUUUCAAUUUACUUUAUGUUAAAUUAUUAUUGAUUAUGCUUUAACUAAUAACUUGUAGGUUUUUGCAUGAAGUUUCUAUCACUGAUGGGAAUGAAGAUGUGUAUGGAUUCUUAGAUCCCUCAUAUACUAAUCCCACUGGAAUAAAGAAAAUUGAAACUCAAUCAUACAUCACUAACACCCUGGAAAAAGAAGGGAAACAAAUUUAUUUAUGCUUUAUAUUAAUGAGUAAGUUUAAUUAUAAGUCGUCUAUUAUUUCAUGUUUUAAAUAUUUACUAACUCUUUUCAUGGAUGAUAUAGGGGUCAUUGGAAAUUACUUGUCUUAUUAACAGUUGAUAAGACUGUUGUGUGAUUUUGUUCCCUACACAAGAAGUCAUUCACACAUCUGAAGAAUGUCAUUUAUAAGUAAGUACACUAUAAACUUAACUUUGUAUGUUACUAAUUAAGCAUCUACUAAUGCGGUUUUUUGUAUUAAUCAGUUCAUGGCAUGGAUAUAACAUCCUAAAAGGUCGAUCUAAUUCAAAUUUUCAAAAUUUGAAGUGGAUGACAUUAAAGGUUUGUAAUUUCUGUCUUUCUCUUUUCAUUGUUUAUCAAUAUUAACUUUUAUUUUUAUUGAAUUAUAGUGUAAUUGACAAUCAGGAAGCUAUGAGUGUUGCUAUUACGUUAUGUAAUGGAUGAUUACCAUUGUAAGACUAGGCCUUAAAAGUGAUUGGGAUUAGGUAACAUGAUGGUAAAUUAUUUUUAUAAUUCUUUAACAUAUAUGUAUCUUAACACUAAUAAUUGUGUGAACCUUAUUUUGUAAUGCGGUUCUUCACGAAUGAGCAAGCAAUGACUUCGAAAGUUAUAGCAUAUGUGAGACAUUCUUGGUCCACAUAUUUCCUAAAUUUUUAUAACUCUAUGAUAGCUUAUGAAUAGUGUGGGAAAUAGAUAAAUAGAUUGGGAUUAGAUAGAUAGAUAUAUUAUUAGUGUUUGUAAUACACUUUUAUCAACAUCUAUAAUUUGAUUCUUUGAAUUUAUGUAUUUUUCUGGUUGUGUUAUAAUUGAACAGGUCAAUUUAGAUGGGAAUUAUCAUUAAACAUAAUGUACUAACAAAAUUAACGAUAUACAACAACAACUAUUUACUAUAUAUGCAUUCUUAUAUGCAGCGCAAAGAUUUACAAAGGCAACUAUGGUAAAUAGCCGCAUUCUUAAAUGCUAUUUAUAAGUGCAACUAUGGUAAAUAGCUGCAUUCUUAAAUGCAUAACACAUCUCUUUUAUAAAUCAUUCUGAAGCAUAUAAGAAUGCGGUUAUUUACCAUAGUCGCCCUUAUAAAUCGCAUUUAAGAAUGCGGCUAAAUAGUCACCUUCUUAUAUGUUUGACAUAAGACUACGUGUACAUCAAAUGCGACUAGAAAGUCAUCGUUGUAAAGUGAAAAUAUCCGCCCUCUUUUUCUUGACUUCUAUGAGAUAAUAGAAGAACCAAGAAAAAUUCAAUACAUCUCUCAGUUGUUUGACAACCUCCCCAAUCUGAGUCGCAAUAAGUUGUCAAUGUCAGAUGGUUCUUGGAUGACAAUAGUAAUCCUUGUUCAGGUGAUCCUUUGAUGUUUUUUAGGACUCAAAUUGCGGCAUCCCAAUGAGAUUUUCGUGGAACCGGUAUAUAUUGACUUAAACACUAUGUCAGGCCGAGUAACCGUGAGGUAUAUUAAUUAUCAGUCGUCCCACAAGUUGCCUGUAUUUGACUGGAUCCUUUAAUAACUCUCCAUCGUUUGAGUGUGAGUUUUAGGUAUUGCUCCAUUAGAAAUUUGUCUAGACGAUCACCUGUGAGUCCCGUAUCCUGCAAAAUAUCAAGCACAUAUUUUCUUUGUGACAUGUAAAUACUAGCUUUGGAACGGAAAAUAUUCAAUCCCUAGAAAAUAUUUUAAGUCUUCAAGAUCUUUAAUGCGAAAUCGUCGUAAUAGACCAUCUUUAAGACGCUGCAUUUUUGUCAGAUCAUUCAUUUCCUGUCAAAAGAAUAUCGUCCACAUAAAUCGAGAGGACAUUAAAUGAUGAGUUAUUUUGUCUUGUGAAUAAAGAGUAGUCCACCUUGGACUAUUGAAAUACUGGAGAUUUAAUCACAUGAGAAAAUGUUGAAAACCAUCUCUGGACCAUGUCCGGAGGCUUGUCUGUCGAUGAUGCCUAGGUGACAAGUCCAUGUAAAUAAGUUCGUGCAAUUUGCCAUGUAAGAAGGCCUUUUGCACAUCCAGCUGGUGAAUAAACCAAUUUUUGGUUGUUGCAAUGGUGAGGAGACACCUCAAAGUUGUUAAUUUUGAUGUUGGUGAAAAAGUUUCGCAAUAAUCAACACCUUCAAUAUGAGUGUACCCUUUUGUAAUAAGGUGCGGCUUAUAUCUUUCGACGUUGUCAUCCGAUUUGUACUUUCAUCUUAUAGGUUUCUGCCCGGCGGGUAACUGAAGAAAAUCAUGAAUUUUGAAAGAAAAUGAUGCAUAAGAUACCUAGUUCCAUUCGACUAAUAUUGGAUAGUGGUUGAAUGAUUGACUUGGGAUCCCGUUACGUAGUCUUGAAGUCAAAAAAGUGAAGUUAUUGUCUCCACUAAUCAUGAGAUUCUAUCAUUAUUAAAUUAAUUGCAUAUAAUUACGUAUAAUUGCGUAUAAUUUGAUAAUCCUUAUUUCUUUUAAUAAAUGAGAUUAUUUUAUUAUUUUAAUUGAUGUAUGUAUUUCUAUUUUGAAAAAUUUUAUUUCUGGCAGGAUUAUCCACUCUCACCCGUCAAAUAUAUUAUGAAUCUAAGUUUUAAUGAAAUCAACAUUUGGCGAUCCAUGGAGGUAUGGAGGUAUUGAAGAACAUGAAAUUUAAAAAACUUAAUUAAUGAUUUGCUUGGGAGAGAGAAAUCAUGACAUUUUGAAGUCUUUAAAUGUGAUUAUUUAGCCAAAGUUCAUAUAUAUAUUUGCAUAAAUUUAGUUAAUUCCCCUUACAUCUUUCAGGUUUAUAAAAAUACAUCUGUUUUUUAACGUUCUUUUGGUUUUCAGCAAUUUACCUGCGGUCAAGGUAUUGGAGGUGUGGAAUAAAUAUGUGUUGUUUCUAUAUGAUGUGUGCAGAAAUGCACAUAUUUAAAUGAGGUGACGGUGGAAUAUUUACUCUCCUCAUGAGCACAAAGUAGGAGAAAUCUAUAAAUAAUAUUGCAUAAACUAAUGUCAAAGGAAAUUCUCCAUAUAUCAUCACAAAAGAAAUUGAGAAAAAAAUAUCCAACAUCCUCCCUUAAUUAUGAUUUGGAACAACCUUCCCAAUUUGAGUCAUGAUAUUGUUUUUCUCAAUCAAAUUUUCAUUCAUAGCCUUUUGCCAUUUGGGGUGUUGAAUGACAUCAUCAAGUCUCACAGGUUAUGAUUCUGCAAGAAAAGCAAAGUGAACAAAAUCUCCAUUGUCGUCAACUUCAUCAUCAAGAUUUACUUCACAAUCUUGAAGAUGUACAGGUUGUCGAUGUUGCCUUCUUGGUCACUCCAUCAUAGUUGCAAUUGGAGUUGCAACUUCAGGUUGAAUUACAACUUCAGGUUGAACUGCAGGUGCUUCAAGAGUGACUUCAUCUUCCACAUCAUCGUUCAAAACGUAAAUAUAUCAUUUUUUUUAAUCCAUUUCAACUGCUGCAUUUCAUUGUCAUUCCUCAUCUUCGGCAAAUGUAACAUCACGACUAACAAUCACCUUCUUUGUUAUUGGAUUGUACAAUUUGUAUCCCCCAUGCUUAUAUCCAAUGAAAAUGGUUUUCCCUGCCUUAUCAUCCAACUUUGAUCUUGCUGCCUUGGGAACAUGAGCAUAAGUAAUUGACCCAAAUACCUUCAAGUGUUGCACAUUGGGUUUGAAUCCACUUCAUGCCUCAAUCGGAGUUGUGUUAGGAACACUCUGAGUGGGUGAUCUGUUUAUCAAAUAUACCGCACAUGUUACGGCCUCAGCCCAAAAAUAAUUUGGCAUACCUUUCGCUUUAAGCAUGCUCCUCGCCAUGCCCAUGAUUGUUUUAUUCCUUCUCUCAGCAACUUCGUUGUGUUGAGGUGUGUAGGAACAAGUUAUGUUAUGUUGCAACCCAAGUUCUUCACAAUGCCUCUUGAAUUCAUUAGACUUGUACUCACCUCCUCCAUCACUACGCACCAUCUUAAUUUGUCUGUCACUCUGCCUUUCAACAAAUGCUUUAAAUAUUUUAAAGUUAUGGAAUACCUCAUCCUUGUUUUUCAAUACAUAAAUCCAGGUUUUCCUUGAAAAAUCAUCAAUAAAGGUUAACAAAUACUUAUUACCUCCAACUGAUGAUAUGUUCAUUGGGCCACAAACAUUUGUAUGAACAAGCUCCAAAGGAAAUUUUGCACGCCAAGGCUCCUUAACAAAUGGCAUACUGUGAUUCUUUCCAAAAAUGCAAGCCUCACACAAUUGAUCAGGGUGAUGAAUAUGAGAUAAACCAUUUACUAAAUUUCAUUUUGAGAGAUUUUCCAAACUCUGGAAAUUUAAGUGCCCAAAGCGUAAAUGUCAUAACCACGAUUCAUUAUUCACUAUUGCAUUCAAGCACUUGAAAUCACCCAUAUGAAUAUCUACUAGAAACAUGCGGUUUUUUGAUAAAAAGGAAUUAAGAAUCAAACUACCUUUUUUAUCAAAAAUUGAUAAUUUAUUUUCAACUAUGUGCAUCACAUAACCCUUCUCGGCCAGCUGUCCCAUACUCAACAAAUUACUUUUCAUAUCAAGUACAUAGAAAACAUCAUAGAUGUACCUGUGAUCACCAUUCUUCAAUGUGAUAAGAAUUCGCCAUUCUCCAGUGACCGGAACGAACCUGCCAUCACCGAAUUUCACUUUUGUGCGAAAUGAGUCAUCCAAAUCUGCAAAUAGCUCCUUCUGACCACACAUAUGAUUCGUGCAACCUGUAUCCAAAUACCAAGUCUGGUUGUUUGGAGUUUCAUUUGAUGUGGUUGUCAUUAAUACUUCAUGAUCAUCUUCAUCUUGUUCGUGAUUACUAUCUUCUUGAGCACAAUUGGAAGCAUGAUUAUCACCUUUUGAUCUGCACUCAUUUGCAUAAUGGCCACGUUUAUGGCAAUUAUAACACUCAACAUUUGAUUUAUUAUAAAUGUCUCCUCGUCCUUUGCAACCACGUUCCCCUCGCCAAGCGCCUCCAUGAUUCUGGCCACCACGACCUUUGCUGAAAUAGCUACCAUGUUUAUGAUAUGAGCUACCAAUUGAGGCUUGUGUUUGUAAAGCCUGUUCAAUUGGUUUUUCAAUCUUAUUGUCNNNNNNNNNNNNNNNNNNNNNNNNNNNNNNNNNNNNNNNNNNNNNNNNNNNNNNNNNNNNNNNNNNNNNNNNNNNNNNNNNNNNNNNNNNNNNNNNNNNNAAAUAAAUAUUAUUAAAUAUAGAUUAUAUUUUGGAUUUAAUAAUUUAUAUUGAUGUAAAUUUACCUUUAAUUACAACAUAAUUCUUAAAAUAUUACUUGAAAGUUAUUAAAUAUAAUUUUUUUCAAAAAUAAAAAAUAAUUACUUUUUAUUUUAAUUAAAUUAAAUAUUAUUUUAAAAACUAAAAAUAUUAUUAUAUCUAAAUUAGUUUAUAUUGAUAAAUAAUUUUAAAAUUUGUAUUAAUUACCUAGAUUUUAACUAUCAAUUAUUCAAAUUUUAAAGUUUAUAUAUAACUAAUUAAAUAUCAAUUUAAAAAAUAUUUAUGAAUAAUAAAAAUUAAUUUAGAUACUAUUUAUUUUUUUUUAGUAUCUAAAUAUAAUAAUUAAUUAUUUUUCCUUAUUAAAAUUAGUUUCUAUUUAAUUAAUUUUAAAUAAAUUUACUUUUAAUUAUAUUAUAAUUGUUGAAAUAUAUCUAUCUUGAUUCAGUGACAGUGGUAGCUCUUAGACUAAGUCAAGUCGUGGUCUUUUUAUCUUUGUUCUUUUGUAUGUUUAAUUAACUACUAAUAUUUAUUUUAAAUAACUAAAAUAGAUAAUUAAUAAAUAUUUUUAACGUAUGUUUUUUACUGUAUGAUAAAUUAAUGAAAAAUAUAAUUUUUUAAAAAUAUAUGAAUUAAAUUUUAUAUUCUUAGUUUAUAAUAUUAUACAAUUUUAUUUUAUUAAUUAUAACAUAAUUAUGCUGAAUUAGGUCUAUUUUGGAUUCCACUUUCCGCUAUAAGUUGACGUCAAGUCAUCCUUCUUUACUUGAUUUUAGGUUUAUAAAUAAUUUAUAUGAUGUAAAAAAUUAUUUUUAGUUCUAACAUAAUUAUUGAGAAAUAUCUAUUUUGGGUUCUACUCGGAGGUGACUAUCACCUAGUCAAGUUUUCUUUCUUAAAUAUUACUUAUAUUUUAGUAUAAAUAUAACAAUAUUUAUCCAUAUUAUUAAAAUUAAAUAAGUAUUUUAAUGUAUAAAUGAUAUUAAAAAUUAAAUUUUAUAGUAAACAAAAUAUUUUAUUAUUAAAAAAAAUAGAUAAUUGUAUGAUGAGUAUUUAUGUUGAUUUAAUCUUAAAAAUUAUAUGGAUAUUUAAUUUAAAAAUAAAACGAAACAGAUUAAAUUGAAAAAUAUAAAAUGAAAAAAUAUUAAAAUAAAUCUGGAGGAAUAAUAAAUUGGAUGGUUGAUAAGAUGAAGCGUGGUGAAUGGGGAAUUAAGUGCGUGAAGGAGUUGGCGGUUUCGUAUUUAAAUAGUUGAUGAGAUGAAGAUGAAGAUGAAGAUGAAGAGUGUGACACUGUUUUUCCUCUUUCUCCUUUUAUUGGAAGCCCUUUGGUGUGAAGGAUGUUUGAAGGAAGAGAGAGAAGCACUUUCCGGCUUAUAUUCCCGUUUGGGCAAUCCUUUAAUUGGGGACGUGGACACAGAUUGUUGUCAAUGGGGAGGAGUGGAAUGCAACUCCUCCACAGGGAGGGUGGCCGGACUCGAUAUCUUCAUGUGGGAUUCAAUCUCACAACACUAUAUUAAUUGCUCGGAUUUUUCUGUCUUCAUAGAUUUGAAGAACCUCUCCUUCAUAGGUAGGUUGUGUGGGGGUGAAGGUAUGAAUCACUCAAACUUUAUUUCUCUUUACUUACUAUUUUACAUUACUUUACAUACUUUCCAGGCUUGCCAAAUCUGGAGCUCUUUCCGAUCAAGAACCUGCUGGACAACUUCAAUAAACAUUCUUCAUUCCACGGUGAGACUACCUAUUAGUCUUUCUUAUUCUAAUAAAUCACAAUAAUCAUAUUUCUCACUUUAUGUUUUAAUAAUAUAUUUUCACAUUUUCUUCGUUUCUUUCACAAUUUUUUGAUUAUAUUCAAUACAUGUACAUAUAUAAGUUUUCGAAACUCUGUCAUCAAAGCUGCCUAAUCUGGAGGUCCUUCGCAUAAGUGGGAUCUAUUUAACCAAUCACAUCUUGCCAUCCCUCGAAGAAUUCACAUCUUUAAAGAUACUGAGUUUGCAGGAUACUGGAUUGGAUUCGGAUCUUCACAUAGAAGGUACGUAUAGCAUUUUUUAUUUUUUUAUCUCUCAUUAAAUAAAAAUUAAUUUUAAAAAAAAUUAAUUAUUAUAAAAACUAUUCAUCAAUAAUAUAAACUAAUUUAAAAAUUAAUAAUUUUUUAAUUUUUAAAAUAAUCUUUAAUUUAAUUAUUAUAAUAAUUAAUUAUUUUUAGUAUCUAAAAUUAGUUUCUGCAAAUUUUCCUGAAAGUACGAAUAGGAUUAAACUUUUCCAUUUCAUUAAUAAAGAGGAGCUAUGGGAAUUUACGGAGGAUAUAUUCUUUGCAGCUUUAUGCUCAAAAUUGAGGAAUCUUGAGGUCCUUGACUUGUCAUACAACAACUUUAACCACACUGAUAUUGGGUCUGCUCUUAGUGGACUCUCAUCCCUCAACUCCUUAUAUUUAGAAAACAGUGGAUUGACUUGGAGAUCAAUUUUAAGUAUGUCUCAUAUAGAAAUCUUCAUUAUUUGUUUUUUUAUUACAAAUUAUAUCUAAUUCUCUAUAAUCGGAAUAUUCUAUUGUUAGAUAUUUCAAAAUUGAGUUCCUUGGAGAUUCUUAACUUAGAUGAUAACGGGUUGAAUAACUCUAAGAGUAUCUUCUGGCAUAUAAAAGGUUAGUUGUGAGUAUAAAAGGUUAGUUGUGAUUGAUAUUGGAUAAUAUUUUAUUUAUGUUUCUUGUUCUUAUUAUUUGAUACUUUCAAUUUUGUUUAACAGAUAAAGAUGAAUUUAAAUGGCCAAUCAAUUUACAAAAGUUAUGGCUGAAUUACAACAACUUGGCAGACGAAUUUCUCCCAUCUCUAAGUGGUCUUCCACUUCUCAAAUCUCUUCAUUUAAAGGCCAAUCAACUAAAAGUAACACUAGAUAUCAACGGUCAGUAUUUCUAUAGAAUAUGUUUAAAAUAUUAAAAAAAAUAUUUCUAGAUAUUAUAUUCUAAUAUUUUUAAAUUAUUAUAAUAUUAAACGAUUUGUUAGAAUCAAUAAUUUAAUCAGGAGUCUAAAAAACUAUACAGUCAAUUACAAAAUCAUAAUUAAUUUAAUAUUAAGAUAAUUAAUAUUAAAAAUCUCCACAAAUUUAUAUUCUAAAAUAUUGUAAAAAAACAACACUCGAUGUAUUACACUUAUUUUUUAACUGUCCUGUCAUUGUUUCUUUGCCAAGUAAUUCUUAGAAAAAUUGGAACUCUUUAAAGACUAUGAUUUCUUACUAUGAUUUUUAGUUUAAUUUUUACUAAUAAGUUACUUUCAAGUUAUUUAUAAAUUCCCACACUAAGAAUUUAGAUGUUUAAAAUCUACUGAAAAUUUCUUCCAUAAAACUAAGUGAGAUUCAGACCACUUAUUCUAGAAAAAACAGCUUUUUUCAGACCAAUAUUUUGUUUACUUUAUUCAAAUUUAUUUUACUAUUAUUAAAAAAUAAAUCACGCUUUUAAAGUUUUAAAAAAUAAUAAUAAUUACUAUUGGUCCUUUGUUUUUAAAUUUGAAUAAAUUUAAAAUAGUAGUAAUUUUUUAUUGGAAGAUAAGUUUUUAAACUAUUUUUUAAUUGAUUCAAGAUGUGAAAUUUGUUCUAUUAGAUUAAUUUACAUGAAAAAUUACAGAAUCCAAUUUAUAUUAAGAUAAUGAAUAGUGGUAAUUAUAUAAAAAUCACAUGAAAAUGCAUGGUUCAUAUUCUUAGUGAGUAGUGAUGAGUUCAGAUGCUUUAUUUAUCAGAGAAUGAUGGAUUUAAAUGGCCCACCAAUUUACAAGAGUUAUGGUUGAGUCACAACAACUUAAGCAACAAUUUUCUUUCAUGUCUGAGUGGUCUUCCACGUCUCCAAUCCCUUGAUUUAAGCUUCAAUCAACUAGAAGGAGCAAUAAAUAUAAGUGGUCAGUAUUUUUAUGUAUUUUUUCCGCUUUAUUAUAAUAUUUUAGAAUUAAGAUUAAUUAUUCACUUAGUUUGAAUAAUUGUACAAAUUUUAUCUUAUAGUUUAUAUUCUUAAAAUGUGAUGAUAUAUGUUUUGUAUAUCGAAAUUAUACAUAUAGUUUUAUUUCUUAAACUAAUAUAGUCUAAAGAUAUAAGAGGGAUUUACGUUUAUUAGUACAUUUAAGAUAUAUUUAUUAAUUUAUGAGAUGAAAAGAAAAUAAAUAAUCAAUUAUUUAUUAAAUUUUUUAAUUUUUAAAAAAUAAAAAUAAGCAACAAUUUCUCUUAAAAUAAAUUUAAUAAAUAAUUAGUUAUUUAUUUCCUUUUCAUCUCAUAAUUAAUAAAUAUAUCUUAAAUGCACUAAAUAAACGUAAAUCUCCUGUAUCUUUUUAACUAUACUAGUUUAAAUAAUAAAACUGUAUGCAUAACUUCUAUAUACAAAACAUAUAUCCAUCACAUUUUGAAAUCAAAGAUUUCUAAAACAAGAAAAUGUAAUAUAUAUAUAUAUAUAUAUCAAAUAAACCAUCUCUAUUUAUAAAGUUUUCAUGUUCUGAACUUACACUAAGAAUCCAACUCAACAUGAAAUACGUGAAUUAAUUAAUUUUGUUUACCUCUAUUUUAGCCUCUAAGAAAAUAUAUUAAUUUUGUUUACCUCUAUUUUAGUCUCUAAGAAAAGAUUUCACAACUAAACUAAGUUAGACGUAGCAAAGAUUAACCUAGUCGUGUUAGAUCUCACAUACAAGACUAAAAUGUACCUAAUGCAGACAACACUAAAAACGAUAGUUUUGAGAUUUGGGAUCUGAGAAAAAAAAUCUUACUCUAAAACAAAAUAGAUUAUUGUAAUCUCUAUUAUGUUCUAUAAGGUGACUUUUAAUUAAAAAAAAGUUGAAUAAUUGGGUUAGAAAUUUAGAGGAAAGAUAAAAAGAAUGUGAGAAAAAAUGUUCAAAGAAUUGUAAUCUUUAUUUUUUUUAAACCAUCCCCACAAAAAGAUCUUACAGUCAAUAUAUAAAAUCAUUACUCUUAUUUAUUAAGUUUAAUACAAUGUCAAUUAAGAAAAUCUAUUUAAUCAAUCAAGUAAUUAAAUAUCAUUGGUAUUUGAUUUUUAAGAUAAUUAAUAUUUCAAAAGUCCAUAAAUUACAACACACAACCAUUUGUAUUAUAAAACAAAGCAUUGCACUCUUAUAUAUACUAUUAAUUAAUAUAUAUUAUAAAACAUAUUUAUCGAUAACAAAAAUCAUUAAAAAUCCAAAAGAAUUUAUGAGUAAAUUCAAAUUAUGGAUAAAUUUUAAAAAUAUAGUCCAAAAUUUAAAAUUUAAAAAAUAAAUAAUCCAAAUAUAGUUCAAAUAAAGUUAAAAUACGAUCUAUUAAUUGAAUAAAUAGGUAUUAUAAAUGUGUUUUUAGUAGUUAUUUUUCAAAUCUUUGUUUCUUUAUCAAAUACUUAGUAAGAGUAUUCAUGUUGAAAAUGAUUUUUUACUAUCAUUUUUGCCUUUUUUUUUCCUUAAAAAAUGGUGGAAGUCAAACUGUGAGAGUUUAAUUUACAUUAACAAAGUCAACUUUUAGAGGUUCUAACAUCAUAGUUUUUGGAAGAAAAAAACUUUUGAUUAUUUAAAAGUAAACUAUUUUUUUAACGCGAAAUAAAUGAAUGUUAAUUGAUUUUGAUUAAUUUUUAUUUUUUCUCUUGCAGGAUUAUCAACUUUGAUAAAUUUGACGAAUCUUGAUCUAAGCUAUAAUAAUAUUCAUUAUUUUGUGGCCAAUCAAGGUAUUUAAGAAAAUUAAAAUUAAAAAAGAGGAAGAAAAUAUAUAUUAGAUAAAUUCAUGAUAUUGGCACGUUAAUUCCAUUAUUUCCUUGAAAUUCCUAUAUUCACAUUUUGCAUAAAAUAUAUUUGUCCCCUUCUUGGAGACAUAUUUACUCUAUUCCAUUUAGCAUAAUUAAAGUUUAUUUUACAUUUUUUAGUUAAUUAAAGUUACAUAUCUUUCAGACUCAAAAAGAGUAAGUAGAUUGGAAGCCCUUAAUUUAGAUGGAAAUAUGAUAGAUGGAAAAAAGCUAAGGGAGUCAUUACGAGCUUUAUCAUCAUCCAUGAAGGAGCUUCAAAUGUCUCACAAUCAUUUUAUAGGAACACUUUUAGCUGAAGGUAAAUAAUACAUAUGAUUUUCAUGAAAUAAAUUAAUUUUGUAGUUCUUACAUUAAGAUUCUUAUAAUUUUUUUUUAUUGGGCAGAUUUUCACGAUUUAAGUAAGCUAGAACUUUUGAAAUUGGAACAAAAUGAUAACAUGGAGAGUGAAUUUUUUAAAAGUAUUGGGAAUUUGACGUCCUUGAAAGUACUGUCUCUUUCAUAUUGUCAGAUAAAUGAUGCCCUUCCUGCUGCUACUGGUAAUUAUAUUAUUAUUCAGUGUUAUUUAUAACAUGUAUGUUUUAUUUAAUUUUUUCUUAAUUUUGUUAAAAUCUUUAUAUCCUUCUUGUUAUAACACUUGCAAGAUGUUUUCUUUUUUUCUUCAAAUUUUCAUUCAGAUUGGUUUAAGCUGAAGAAGUUGGAAGAGUUAAAUCUAAUACAAAAUGGAUUUGAAAGAUUUCUUCCCAAAUCUUUCAUUAACAUGACAUCUCUUCGGAAGUUGGAUCUUUCUCAAAAUCACUUCAUGGGAAAGUUUGAUUCUAACAUUGCAACCCUUACAUCACUGGAAUAUUUUGAUUUUACAAAAAACCAAUUUGAAGUACCUGUUUCAUUUACACCAUUUGCCAAUCAUUCACGCCUUAAGUUUGUCUAUGGUAAAGGCAACAAAGUCAAAUUGGACUCACAACACAGUUUGCAAACUUGGAUUCCGAAAUUUCAGUUAGUGAGUCUUAGCUUGUCUUCAAGCAUUGAAACUAGUUCUUUCCAGCUUCCCAAAUUUCUUCUUUAUCAAAAAUAUUUAACUAGUCUAGAUUUAAGUAGUUUGAAGUUGGAAGGAGGGUUUCCUCAUUGGUUGUUAGAAAACAACACAAGGUUGACUGAAGUUGUUUUUAGAAAUUGUUCUUUGAAUGGUACUAUGCAAAUACCAUUGCGUCCCCUUCUUGAGUUACGAAGUAUUGAUGUGUCUAGCAAUAUCAUAAUUGAUGAAAUCCCAAGCAAGAAUAUCAGUUUUAUUUACCCAAAUUUGAGAUAUUUAAACAUGUCUAGAAACCACAUCCAAGGUUCAAUUUCUCGUGAGUUUGGCCAAAUGAAAUUGUAUUUGUUGGAUCUUUCAUACAACCAAUUGUCAGGAAAAAUAUCAGAGGACAUAUUCAAAGCUUGGCACCAACUUGAUUUAUUGGAACUUUCAAAUAAUAAGUUGGAGGGACCCAUUUUUACAAUACCCACUAAUUUGGAGUUUUUAUCAUUGAAUGAUAAUAACUUUAGUGGCAGACUUCCUUGGAACAUUUUUAACACAUCCAUUGUCUCAUUGGAUGUAAGCAAUAAUCAUUUGGUAGGAAAGAUUCCAAGCCUUUUGAAUAAUUUAUCAACAUUAUGGGAACUUCGUAUGUCCAAUAACCACUUUGAAGGAUUCAUUCCGUUAGAAUCAACACAACUUAAAGAUCUAAAAUAUUUAGAUCUCUCCCAAAAUAAUUUGUUUGGUCUUGUACCAUCAUUUAUAAAUUCUUCUGUGAAAUUUAUCCAUUUGAGCAAUAAUCAUUUAGCAGGAUUGCCCAAAAAAAUGUUCACUGAAAACUCUCCUCUAGUGAUGUUGGACCUUAGUUACAACGAAAUAUCUGGUGGCAUUCAGGAUAUGGUUAAAGACCUCAGUUAUUCAAAGUUGAAUUUUCUCUUUUUAAAAGGUAAUCACAUUACUGGGGAUAUACCUAAGCAAUUAUGUCAAUUGAUAAAAUUAACCAUGCUAGAUCUUUCAGACAAUAAACUCUUGGGAGAAAUUCCCCAUUGCUUGGGGACAAUGCCUUUUGAUAAUAACAACCUUGAUCCAUUAUUAAAAGCAUCCAAGGGAUGUUUUGUUGAAGAAUAUAUUCUACAACAAUCACAAUCAGAGCAUAAGAAAGAGAAAUUAAGUUUCACUUCGAAGAAAAGAAUUGAUACUUACACGGGAAGCAUCCUUACUUAUAUGUGUGGAGUUGACUUAUCUAAUAAUAAAUUGAAGGGGAAUAUUCCUUACGAGCUUGGAAACUUGACAAAAAUCCAAGCAUUGAACUUGUCUCAUAAUGAUUUGAUUGGACAAAUUCCAGAUUCAUUCUCGAAGUUGGUGCAAACAGAGAGUUUAGAUCUUUCUUUUAAUAAGUUGAGUGGUGAAAUUCCUUCUAAACUCAAUAUUCUAACCUCACUUGAAGUUUUAAGUGUGGCACACAACAACUUAUCAGGCCCAAUACCUGAAUGGACAAAUCAAUUUUCCACAUUUGAUGAGAGUAGCUAUGAGGGUAACCCAUUUCUUUGUGGACCUCCAUUACCAAAGAGUUGUCAUCCAGCUCCUAUAGUUAUUCCAAAUGACUUGGAUUCUGACAAAGACGAU
rnacentral:lncRNA from 1 species